GCGUCUUCAACCUGGCAUUCUUAUCACCAAUAGUAGUGGUAUCCUCAACAGAGGGGUUAGUUACCACAUCAACAGUUGAAGAUAUCUCAACAGUAGUAGCAGUAGAACAUUCAGCAAUAGAGGCAGCGUUAUCACGCUCAAUGCAUUUUAAACAUGGUGGUUCAAAUCCUUCCUGAGCGGGACUGAUCUGUUGAGCGCGGAGUGACUUGUUUUCUUUUUCAAGAUCUUCAUGAUCCGAUCUCAAUUUCUCAAGCUCCUGCUUCCUUUGAAGAUAAUCAUAGGAAAGCUUUUCAUGAGAGGUGGAGAGUGUCGGUGUCAAAACCGGCGGAUCUCGGGUAGGGGGUCCCGAUCUAUGCGUCUUAGGCUGAUGGUAACAGGAAGUAAGGGACACAAUGUUUACCCAGGUUCGGGCCCUCUCGAUGGAGGUAAAACCCUACUUCCUGCUUGAUUAAUAUUGAAGAUAUGAGUAGUACAAGAGUAGAUCUACCACGAGAUCGUAGAGGCUAAACUCUAAGAGCUAGCCUAUGAUGGUAUGAUUGUAAUUGUGAUCGUCCUUCUAAGGACCAUGCUCUCUGGUUUAUAUAGACACUGGAGAGCUAGGGUUUACAUGGAGUCGGUUACAAGGAAGGAAAUAUAAUAUCCGGAUCGCCAAGCUUGUCUUCCACGCAAAGGAGAGUCCCAUCCAGACACGGGCCAAAGUCUUGAGUCUUGUAUCUUGACGCUCCUAUAGUCCGGACGAAGUGUACAGUCCGGCUGUCCGGAUACCCCCUUAUCCAGGACUCCCUCAGAGAGCGUCUCAUGUCGACCUUCAAGUUCUUGGUACUUAACAUGAAGAUUUUUUAUGUCUUCAAUUAAGGACUGGGUCUUAGUCAUUUCCGAGUCCAAUAGGUCAUCGCUUUUGUCUAACAAUUUUUGAAUAUGUUCCAUAGCUUUCUGUUGUUCAGUUGCAAUUUUAGCAAGUUUUUUGUAACUAGGUUUGGAUUCACCAUCAGAGUCAUCUUCACUUGAUGCUUGAAAGUAAGCAUCGCGUGAGUUUACCUUGGCACCACGUGCCAUGAAACAGCAGGUGGGAGCCGAGUCGUUCUCGUCAUCAGCGUUGGUGACAGAGCCAUUGUCUUCAGUGUUGAAGAUGGACUUGGCGAUGUAAGUUGUAGCUAGAGCCAGACUUGCGACACCAGAGUCGGACUCCUCCUCGGACUCCACCAUCGCCUCCUCAGAAGCAGACUCCUCUAAAUCCAUCUCCUUGCCAACAAAAGCACGUGCCUUGCCCGAUGAGCUCUUCUUGUGUUACGAAGACUUGGAAGAAUAUUUGGAAGAAGACUUUGAGGAUUUCUUCUUUUUCUUGUCAUCAGAAUCAUAUUCUUUGCUCUUCUUCUUCUUCUUUUCAUUGUCCCACUGUGGACAUUCAGAAAUGUAGUGGCCAGGUUUCUUGCACUUGUGGCAGGUUCUUUUCUUGCUGUCAUGGGUGGAAGCUUCAUCAUUCCUUGAGCUGGAUCGUGAAGAUUUUCUGAAGCUUCUCUUCUUAGUGAAUUUCUGGAACUUCUUCACAAGCAUAGAAAGCUCCUUUCCAAUGUCUUCAGGAUCACCGGAACUGCAGUCAGAUUCUUCUUCAGAUGAGGAAGCGGCAUCCUUUGCCUUCAAAGCACGAGUUCGGCUAUAGUUGGGGUCAUAGAUAUCUCGUUUCUCAGAUAGCUGGCACUCAUGUGUGUUGAGCCUCUCAAGUAUGUCUGACGGAUCGAGUGUCUUGAAAUCAGGAUGUUCUUGUAUCAUCAGUGCUAAGGUGUCAAAUGAGCUGUCAAGAGAUCUCAGCAUUGUCUUCACUAUUUCAUGCUUCGUAAUGUCAGUUGCACCGAGUGCUUGGAGCUCAUUUGUGAUAUCAGUGAGGCGAUCAAAUGUGAGUUGGACGUUCUCAUUGUCUUGUCUCUUGAAGCGGUUGAAGAGGUUGCGGAGAGUACUGAUUCAUUGAUCUCGCUGAGUUGAGACGCCUUCAUUGACCUUGGAGAGCCAGUCCCAGACUAGCUUCGACGUUUCCAGAGCGCUCACACGGCCAUACUACCCUUUGGUCAGAUAAUCACAGAUGAUUAUCUUGGCUGUAGAGUCCAGUUGAAUGAACUUCUUGACAUCAGCAGGGGUGACACCUUCACGAGUCUUGGGAACGCCAUUCUUGACGACAUACCACAGAUCGACAUCAAUGGCUUCAAGAUGCAUGCGCAUCCUAUUCUUCCAGUAGGGAUAUUCAGUGCCAUCAAAGAUGGGGCACACAUCGGAGACUUUGAUUAUCCCUGCAGUCGACAUAGCUAAAACUCCAAGUGGUUAAACCGAAUCACACAGAACAAGGGAGUACCUUGCUCUGAUACCAAUUGAAAGGGCUAGUUAUCGACUAGAGGGGGGAUGAAUAGGUGAUUUUUAUGUAAGUCUUCAAUACAUGGGAGUUUCGAAGACAAACAAUAGAAACGACACUAUUCGUAUGCAGCGGAAGGUAGACUACACUAAGCAAGCCAUAGUCAAGUAUUCAAUGAAGUUAAAGCACGAAGACUAUUAGGAGCUAGGUAGUAAAGAUAAGGAUGGAAGAUAGUAUGAAGCCAAUCAAGACAAGUAGUCACACAGUGAAGUCAAACAGAUAAUGCAAGCAUGCAAUGACUUCAUGAAGACAAACUGUAAGUAAAGAGAAGUGAGAGAUAGAACCAAUAGCUUCAGGAGGACAGGGGUUUGUUCGACCAGUUCCAGUUGCUGUGACAACUGUACAUAUGGUUAGGGAGUCUGAGAUUUAACUCAGAAGACCGCGUCUUCACCUUAUUCCCCUUGAGCUAAGGACUCUUAGUCCCCGCCCAAUCACUCUGGUAAGUCUUCAAGGUAGACUCCCAAACCUUCACAGACUUCGUUCACCGGCAAUCCAGAAUGACUCUUGGAUGCUCAAAACGUGAUGCCUAACCGGCUGGAGGAUUCACAGUCGUCAAGUGAAAUAAGUCUUCAGAUCAUGCGGAUAGAAAGACUUCAGUGAUGCCAAACACUCUUUGGGCUCUGGGUGGUUUGGGCUUUGUCCUCGCAAGGAUUCUCUCUCAAAAGCUUCGGAGGUGGGUUGCUCUCAAACGACGAAAGCCGUAUACUAACUCCGAGCAGCCACCAAUUUAUGGUGUAGGGGGUGGCCUAUUUAUAGCCACUAGGCAACCCGACUUGAUUUGUCCGAAAUGACCCUGGGUCACUAAGGAACUGACACGUGUCUCAACGGCCAGAUUUCAAACACACGCGGUAGCUUGACUUGGGCUACAAGUAAAGCUGACUCAUCCGACUCUGGAUAAGAUUUGCUCUCGUUGUCUUCGCUCGAAGACAUAGGAUUUAGUUGAGCAUCACUUCAGUCACUCUGACUUUGUUCACUUGGACCACUUAACAGUGUGGUGGUUCCUAUGACUCAACAAAGAAGAAAAGAAACAACGAAACAGCUAAGUCUUUGUGCUCCAUAGUCUUCAGACGUUGUCUUCUCAUGUCAUAGUCUUCAACGUGAUUAGCUUCAUAGACCACCAUUGUCUUCAAUGUCUUCACACAUUUUUAGGGGUCAUCUCCGGUAGGUAAACCGAAUCAAUGCGGGACUACUACCUGUGUUAUCCUGCAAUUCUCACGAACACAUUAGUCCCUCAACUAGGUUUGUCGUCAAUACUCCAAAACCAACUAGGGGUGGUACUAGAUGCACUUACAGUACGAUAGCACCACCUAUCGGAACCACGACAAAAACAUCCGUGUCUCCAAUUGUGUUUGCACACUCCAAUCCCAUCCCUUUACAUUCUUGCAAGUUGCAUGCUUUACUUUCCGCUGCUCAUAUACUCUUUGCAUGCUUGCUUGUUAUGUAUUGUGAUUGUUAAACUUGUGCCAAAACUCCACUUGAACUUAAAGAAAUUAAAAACUGCAACUUUUCUCACUUAGUGUCUAAUCACCCCCCCCCUCUAGACACCUCUUCUCGAUCCUUUCAAUUGGUACCAGAGCUUUGGUCUCCAUUGCUUUGGUUUAAUCACCAUUGGAGGAAGAUGGAUGAGUCUACUUUGGGGAGUCUUAGACAUAGAGUGCCUAUACUUGAUGGAGAGUACUUUUAUGAGUGGAAAAAUGAGAUGCUUGUGAUUUUCAAUGAAUAUCAUUUGAACAAGUACAUUGCUAGCCCUUGUGCAUCUCAUGUUGAUCCUAUGCAUCCUACUCUUGAUGAGUCAAUUGACAUGAUUCACAAUCUUAGAACUGUUGAUCUUAUCACUAGAGGUUUGCCUAGAAACUUGAUAGGUUGCUUGCCUACUCUUAAGUGUGCCUACACCAUAUGGAAAUAUCUUGAGGAACGAUUUCCAAAUCAUUCCUUGAAAAAUCUACAUGAAAUUCUCCAUAAGUCUAUUGCCUUGAGUAAGACGAAAUCAAAUGAUCCUAUGUUUGGUGGUUGUCUAUUUAAGCUUACAAAUCUUAUGCGUGCCAAAGGAGAUGUUGGAAUCAUGAGCAAUAUUAUUUCCGAAGCCACUAGAAUUAAUAGAGAAGAUCAUUGUCAAACUCACUCUAACGAAUCACCCUCUCUAGAAAUUGAUCCACCACAUGACUAUGUUGAACAUGGAUACUAUGAUGAGGAUGAUGAUAGUGACUUUCAUCUUGAUGAUGCAAUGAGACACUUUGGUCUUAUGACAAAUUUUUGGGGAUAUAUGGCAGGAGGAAAGGAAUGGGUUCUUGAUAGUGGAUGUACCGAUCACAUGACUGGAGAUAAAGAUAUGUUUCGUGAGCUUGCUGAAAAUGACGGCCCUCGAAAGUAUGUCACUUUUGGUGAUAACUCAAAGGGUAAGGUGGUUGGCCUCGGUAAGGUGGCCAUCUCACAUGAUAGCUCCAUACAAAAUGUCAUGCUCGUUGAAUCUCUUGGCUACAAUUUACUUUUCAGUAUCUAGACUUGCUGAUUUCGGUUUCAAUGUCCUAUUUACUGAAGUAGAUUGCCAAGUAUUUCAUAGAGAUAAUCAUAAAAUGGUCUUUACCGGUAUACGUAGAGGUGAUCUUUACAUUGUUGAUUUCACUAAAAAGGCUCAACCUAGAACUUGCUUUAUUGCCAAAUCCUCUAAAGGUUGGUUAUGGCAUAGACGAUUAGGUCAUGUGGGCAUGCGAAACCUUGACAAGCUUAUUAAAGGAAAUCAUAUCCUUGGCGUUAACGAUGUCAUAUUUGAUAAGGAUAGACUUUGCAACGCUUGUCAAGCAGGUAAACAGGUUGGAGGAAGGCAUCCCGUGAAGAACAUCAUGACCACAAGGAGUCCACUUGAGCUACUUCAUAUGGAUCUUUUUGGUCCCAACGCCUACAAAAGUCUCGGCGGAAAUUCUUUUGGUCUAGUUAUAGUUGAUGAUUUUUCAAGAUUUACGUGGGUGUUCUUUCUCGAUGAUAUUUCAUAGGUCCAAAAGAUCUUCAAAAACUUCGCUAGGAAGGCCCAAAAUCAAUUUGAAGUGAAGAUCAAGAAGGUUCGCAGCAACAAUAGAAUGGAGUUCAAGAACGCAAAUGUGGACACCUUUCUUGACGAAGAAGGGAUUUCACAUGAGUUCUCGGCUACGUACACACCUCAACAAAAUGGAGUUGUUGAGAGGAAGAUCCGGACGCUCAUCGAAAUGGCAAGAACGAUGCUUGAUGAGUACAAGACGCCUAAGCACUUUCGGGCGGAAGUGGUUGAGACAGCUUGUCACGCAACAACUCGCUUGUAUCUUCACAAGUUACUCGGCAAGACGACAUACGAGCUCCCACCGGUAACAAACCCCAAGUUGGAUACUUUCAAGUAUUCGGCUCAAAGUGCUACAUUCUUGAUAAGCAUCGUCGUUCUAAAUUUGCUCCUAAGUCUCAUGAAGGUUUCCUACUUGGUUAUGGCUCAAACUCUCACACUUAACGUGUCUACAAUAAUUUCACUCGAAAGGUUGAAGAGAUGGUAGAUGUGAAGUUUGAUGAAUCUAACGGCUCGCAAGUAGAGCAAUUGCCAAUUGAUGUAGGAUACAAAGACCCUUCGAAAGCAAUCCAAGACUUGUAUAUUGGCAAGAUUCGUCCAACGGAGGUGAAGGAGAGUACCUCGUCCGUCCAAGUGGAAGCUUCCACCUCACGACAAGCUGAACCAAGAGUUGAUACGGAAGCAUCCACAAGUGGGACACGCCAAGACAAAGAAAACGAGGAAGUACACCAAGAUGAACAUCAAAAACCUCCUUCUCCACCACGACAAGAUAACGACAACGUCAACAAUGAAGAAGCCCAAGAAUAAGAACAAGAUGAAGAAGAUGUUCCACCAAGAUCCAAGCAAAAUCUUUCACGAGUUCGAGCAAGAGUCACCAGAGACCAUCCCGCCGAGCAAAUCUACAAUGAUAUCCAAACCGGGAGAAUCACUCGCUCUAAAACGCAUUUAGCUAACUUUUGUGAACAUUAUUCAUUCAUCUCUAGCAUUGAACCUAUGAAGGUUGAGGAAGCAUUGGAAGAUCCGGAUUGGAUAAACGCCAUGCACGAAGAGUUACACAACUUUGAGAUAAAUCAAGUUUGGACAUUGGUUGAGAAGCCCGACAACAACCACAACAUUAUUGGUACCAAAUGGGUGUUUCGAAACAAGCAAUAUGAAGAUGGACAAGUAGUUCGCAACAAAGCACGUCUCGUCACCCAAGGCUACACUCAAGUCGAAGGUAUGGACUAUGGUGAGACAUACGCCCCCGUUGCUAGACUUGAGUCCAUUCGCAUCUUACUUGCCUAUGCUAAUCACCAUGAUAUCACCUUCUACCAAAUGGACAUUAAAAGUGCUUUUCUAAAUGGUGAAAUAGAGGAGUAAGUUUAUGUUAAGCAACCUCCUAGCUUUGUCAAUCCUAAGAAACCUAAUCAUGUGUACAAACUUCAAAAAGCUCUUUAUGGUCCCAAACAAGCUCCUAGAGCUUGGUAUAAAUGCUUGACCAAGUUCCUUAUUGAAAAAGGCUUUGAAAUUGGAAAAAUUGAUUAUACUCUUUUUACUAAAAGGGUUAAUGGAGAACUUUUUGUGUGCCAAAUCUAUGUUGAUGAUAUUAUAUUUGGUUUGACUAACCCUCUUUUUAGUUAGAAGUUUGGAAAGCUAAUGUCAGAGAAGUUUGAGAUGUCUAUGAUGAGUGAACUCAAAUUCUUUCUUGGUUUGCAAAUCAAGCAAACUAAGGAAGGUACAUUUGUCUCUCAAACAAUUUACACUAAGGACUUAUUCAAGAAGUUCAAUAUGCAAAAAUGCAAAGGUAUGACUACACCCAUGCCUACUAGUGGACAUCUUGAUUUGACCAAAGAUGGUGAACCGGAUGAUCAAAAGGUUUAUCGCUCUAUGAUUGGUUCAUUGUUAUAUCUAUGUGCUUCAUGUCCCGAUAUUAUGCUAAGUGUGUGCAUGUGUGCACGAUAUCAAGCCGCUCCUAAAGAAUGUCAUCUUAAGGCCGUGAAAACGAUAGUGAGAUACUUAAUUCAUACACCAAAUUUUGGCAUUUUGUAUCCAAAGAGGGCCUCUUUCAAUCUUGUUGGCUACUCCGACUCGGACUAUGCCGGUGACAAGGUUGAUAGAAAGUCCACUUCGGGUACUUGUCAAUUUCUUGGUAGAUCUCUUGUGUCUUGGUCUUCCAAGAAACAAAACUCGGUAUCCUUAUCCACCGCCGAAGCGGAAUACAUUGUCGCUGGUUCAUGUUGUAUUCAAUUACUUUGGAUGACCCAAACUCUUAAGGAUUAUGGGAUACAUGUGAAACAGGUUCCAUUACUUUGUGACAAUGAAAGUGCUAUCAAGAUUGCUCACAAUCCCGUGUAACACUCUCGAACUAAGCAUAUUGAAGUUCGUCAUCAUUUCAUUCGAGAUCAUGUUGCCAAGGGUGACAUUAACCUUAAGCAUGUUCGUACCGACAAGAAAUUGGCGGAUAUACUCACUAAACCACUUGAUGAGAAAGUGUUUUGCAUGUUGAUAGGUGAAUUGAACAUCAUUUAUGCUUCAAACUUGGAGUAGAAACUUCAUUUGGAUACAUUCAAGGCAUGAGCCUAUGACUAAUCCUUGAUAUUUCUCUUGUGAUGAUAAUCUUAUGCCUUGGAUAUAUUUGCACCUUGAAUGUUAUCUAACCCUUGUAGGUACUUGGAUGAAUCUAAACCUAUGAGAUUGCAACACACUCACAUCUCGAGCAAUCUCUUUAUCACCAAGUCUCUACACAACGGUGGUUGAAGACAAGGAAGCACGAAACCCUUUUAACAUAUCCUUUGACAAAUUCUGUUUUGAACUUUAUGAUUGUCAUUUUGGAUACACAAGUGCUCUUCCUUGAAAAACUAACACAUGUAGGUAGAUGAACUCACAUUCCAAGUGGUGCUCCCAACUCUUGAUGAGCUACAUCAACUUUGAGCAAUCCACACAAGUUCAACUACAUGAUCACGAUCAACACCACCACCCAAGGUAUGUUAUUCCAUCUUAGAGAAGCUUUACUCCAAGUCAUGAGUCAAAGCAACUCAACAAGAUGUGAAUACAUCAAAAUGCUUAAAUGAAAAAUGGUAACCCCAUUUUCAGCUUAAAAGAUGAGUAUGACCUAUGAUCAAGUGAUCUCACUUGACUCCUAUGUCAAUAUACUCUAACAUAGGUGACUUUGUCGCCGACCAAUUCUAGAUGAAGUUCUCUCGUGGUCCUUUCUGUGCUCUUGCAUUGGUCUCAUGCAUAUUUGUUUCCCCUUUCAAAAAAACUUCAUCUAGAUUUCUUUUCUUUUAUUUUCUUUUCUGCAUUCCCUGCAUCCAAUUCAUUGGAAAUCUUUCAGUUAAUUCCUUGCAAAUCCUUGUGAGAUCUUGCUUGUCUAGUGAGCUGAGGUGACAUGUGUUUUCUCUGUCAUGAACUCGGUCACACCGGCCUGUUGCGUUCGGUCCAACCGAAACCUUUCGGUGCAACCGAAGCAUACAACUCGGUGCCACCGGUUUCACUAUAGGAAAAACAACUUGCCACUUGUUCCUAUGUUCUUAUUGAUCCAGCUCCACUCAAUGAUUCUUGUCCUCUACCAGCAUCACAUUCAACUGGCUGCUUUGUUCUGUGACUCAAGGACCAAACCCAUUCAUGACAAAAAUCCAGAAGAACCCUUCUUGGAAAUUGGUGUCAAAGGGGGAGAGAGAGAUCACAUCAAAGCUUAAUCAUAUCUAUAGGGGGAGAGAAUACUCAAGGGGGGAGAGAGUAAUCAUCAAGGACCCUAGAUGCUUGGUGUUCAAGAGGAGAGAAUUCACAUGUCUUUAUGAGGGGAAAGACAUGUUCAUAUUUGUUUGCUUGCAUUAGCUCUGUUUCUUUUCUUUGAGCUCUGAUUUUCUGUUCCCUAUCUUCUCCCAGUAUCCCAUGCUAGAUUCAGGGGGGUGUCGGUGUCAAAACCGGCGGAUCUCGGGUAGGGGGUCCCGAACUGUGCGUCUAGGCGGAUGGUAACAGGAGACAAGGGACACGAUGUUUUACCCAGGUUCGGGCCCUCUUGAUGGAGGUAAAACCCUACGUCCUGCUUGAUUAAUAUUGAUGAUGUGUGUUACAAGAGUAGAUCUACCACGAGAUCAAGGAGGCUAAACCCUAGAAGCUAGCCUCUGGUAUGAUUGUUUUCCGUCCUACGGACUAAAGCCAUCCGGUUUAUAUAGACACCGGAGAGGGCUAGGGUUACACAGAGUCGGUUACAAUGGUAGGAGAUCUACAUAUCCGUAUCGCCAAGCUUGCCUUCCACGCCAAGGAAAGUCCCAUCCGGACACGGGACGAAGUCUUCAAUCUUGUAUCUUCAUAGUCUUGGAGUCCGGCCGAUGAUGAUAGUUCGGCUAUCCGGACACCCCCUAGUCUAGGACUCCCUCAGGGGGCAAGACACAUAAGGGAAGGAAAUCCUUGUUUGCUUGCAUUAGCUCUGUUUCUUUUCUUUGAGCUCUGAUUUUUUGUUCCCUAUCUUCUCCCAGUAUCCCAUGCUAGAUUUAGGGUGAGUAAGACACAUAAGGGAAGGAAAUCCUUAAAUUCAUUGCACAUAUUUACCUUUGGGGACAUGUCUAUAUCCAAUGGGGUACUCAGUACUCACUCUCUACAUGUCAACCCAGUCUUAGUACUCUUGUGGUUUCUUUUGUUUGCUCUGGCUAGUAGGUGCAUAUGUGUUAUCUAACCUUGCUUACGCAGGUUCAUUCCAUCCUAAGCCAACUCAAGACCACAAGGUAAGUAUAUGCAUCACAGUCAUGUGUAUGAGGAUCUCUUGUUGAUGUACAUAUUGUUUGCAAGAAGGACUCACGAGCAUGAAGGUACAUUUCCCAUAUUCACAUCUUUUGCUCUGAUGCAUAUAGCCAAGAUACAUGUAACACAUUGCUUACUCUGUCAUGCUUAUGCAUUCACAUGCUCCUAUAUUCCAUAUUUACAUGAUUGCAUACAUGUAGGGGGAGCUUAUGCAUGUUACAUGUCUUUCCAAAGCUUUACUUGUUAUUCUCUAUAUCUUUAUCUAAGGAUUUGAUGUAUGUUGUCAUCAAUUACCAAAAAGGGGGAGAUUGAAAGCACAAGUGCUCCCUGGGUGAUUUUGGUAAUUAAUGUCAACAUAUCUCUUGUUGGACUAACACUUUUACCUAGUAUGUUUCAGAUAAGUUCAACAAUGGAGUGGCAUGGACUAGAGGAUGUGGAACCCCUUCAAGACGCUAAGGACAAAGGAUUAGCUCAAGCUCAAAACACAAGACUCUACACUUUCUAUUUUAGUGAUCCAAGAUCACAUUGAGUCUAUAGGAAAAGCCAAUACUAUCAAGAGGGGAUGAGGUGUUGCUUAAUGGCUUGCUUGCUCAAAGUGCUUAGUGAUAUGCUCCAAAGCCCUCAACUACCUUCUCACAUCCACAUAUGAACCAAACCAAAAGUCAAACUCGGCCCCACCAAUUUUUUCUAUCCGGCGCCACCGAGUUCAGAUGUCAUAGCCACUGCCACAAACCCUAGUCUUUUCGGUCUCACCGAUGGGGAUCUCGGUCUCACCGAGAUGGGUGUCGGUGUCAAAACCGGCGUAUCUCGUAGUAGGGGUCCUAAGCUAGGAGUCUUCGAGCGACGGUAACAUGGACACUGGGUUUUACCCAGCUUCGGGCUCUCUUGAAGAGAUAAUACCCUACAUGCUGCUUUUGAUUGUAUUCGUAUGGGUAUUGUACAGAGUACCUGUAUCUACCACGAGAUUGUAGUAAUGAAUAUGAGAUUGUCUAUCGACUAGCCUGGCCUCGGUUUAUAUAACACACUGGAGGUCUAGGGUUUAGGAGAGUCCUUGUCUUGGGCGCCAAGUCUUGUGGAGUCCUUCUUGUAUGCGACAUGGGUUGUCCGAACUGGCCUAUGAAUAUACGGUCAUGGGGGUCCUCGGCCCAAUCUAACUGAUCGGGAGACGACGUGGUGAGUACCCCCUAGUCCGGGACACCGUCAGUAGCCCCCUGAAUCGGUCUUCAAGUUGAGGACGCUCCUCGAUUCUUCCGAACUGUUCUUUAUCUUCGGUCGUCGGUCUUGAAAAGUGGUUCAACAAAUCUUCCCAUCUUCCAUCUUGAGGAUCGCCAAAGUGAAUCCGAAGAGUUUACACGUCGGGUACCGGAGGAGCCCCUUUAAGUCCUUGGCCUUUAUCAAUGCCUUAUUAUUUUUAUGCCACACCUCGGGUUUGAAGUUGUUCCCGGGCGGCAGUGUCCUCUUGUGUCCGAGCUCCAAUACCAGACUACAUUCGAGGUAUCUUUUGCAUCCGAGCACCAACGCUGGACCGCUUCUGAGCUCCAGCGCCGGAAUGUAUCUGAAGAGUAUUGUUACAGCCGAGCUCCAAUGCCAAACUCUAUCCGAGCUCCAGCGUCGGAUUAUAUCCAAGCUCCAACGCCGGACUGUGUCCAAGCUCCAACGCCGGACUAUAUCCAAGGUGUCAUAGAUCACCUAGGUUCAAAAAAAGUUAAAGGAGUUUAUGCCGGACUGCGUCCGAGGUGGUGCACUACCCCAACCGCGGGCUGAUUUUUGACUGGUGCGAUUUAUUCUCUGUCGAGAUAUAUAGCCAGUAUAUGUAUAUCCAAGAGCCCUUAAGGUGUGUGUUAGUCUAAAACCCGAGAUGCACCUGAAGGAAAACAUGAAACCGCUGUUCCUAGUAGCCCGUGAGACUCAGGUCGAUGCGCGAAAUCGGCCUGAGGAUCAACUCCUAGCUCGGCAGCAUACGUAGGAAAUAGAAACGCAGUGUAAUAUAUUAGAGAUAAUAGUGAUCGAUGAAUGGGCCCUUGAGAGAGGGUAUUGAGAGGUUGCCGUAAUAUACCAGCUUGAUGCCAGAAAGGUCCAUAUGGUACCUAUUAUUGUCUGAAGACGCGUUUGCGCAUAGUUUGGUCAAGCCGGACACUGAGCACUUUGAAUUUUCUGCAUUGAAUAGGCAAUGCAGUAGCCGCCGAGACACUGGUCGGGUGGCAAUACCAGAUCAGGGGAUCGAUGUGCCCCUUUAAUAUUUGUAAAUAAUAAGCCCAAAGCCCAGUAGCCCCAGAGCCUUAAUGUGGGCACGGGUGGCCGAAUUAAGGAUCGAUAUCCAUAGUAUAAUCACAAAUUAUGUGUAAUGACUAUGUAUCCAAGUACUUUACAUCAUUAAUGCUCGGAUCCAUAUUGUACAAACCUUUGUUGACCGACCAUCGGCUUCAACCUCUUCGGCCAGUAGCUGAGGAGUGUUUUCCUACUUUAUGAAGCCGUUAUAAGGGCAAAGAUUUAUGGAAAACAAGGCAAUCUGGCCAUACGGUUUUAUAAGCAAAGGUACACGGAGAGAUAUGUUAUAUUACGUAAUGUAAGAAACAUCUUCCAAGGAAAAUAAUCCCGCUAUCGGUUCCUUUCUUUGGGUCGUCAUGCUUAUCGUGAUCAUGAAACCUCACCUCCGGUCAAUGUGGGAGGAAAAUAUUGAGGAUUUAGUUCGGGAAAAGUUCCCGAACUCUAUGUUAUUAAUGAACCAAAAAUUUCACUUCUGUCAUUUCCGACCAAUGUGAUCCUUUAAGAUUGCUAGCUUUCGGCUUCACCCAGUCUGAGGUACUUACUCGGAUGACCUAGUAGUAACAAUCACAGAGGUGCUCCCUUUACCACCUAGCCGAACAAUCGGGAACGUAGGGGUAAGCACAGAAGCAAGGUAGCCCAAUCCUUUUGAGGCAAAGGACAGGCCAAAACAAGUCUCUUAUGAUAAGCAAAGUGUUCUCGAGGGUACACGGGAAUUUCAUCUAGUCACUUUCAACAUGUUGGAUCGAUUCGUGUUCGCUACUUUGAUAAUUUGGUAUAUGGGUGGACCAGUGCUUAGGUGUUGUUCUUACUUGCGCAAACCUCGUACUUAUGAUUAACCCCCUCGCAAGCAUCCACAACUACGAGAAAAGUAUGAAGAAUAAACUCUAACCAUAGCAUUAAACUUUUGGAUCAAAUCGGCCACUUACAGUCUAGCGCAUAAACUAGGGUUUAAGCUUCUGUCAGUCUCGCAACCCAUCAUCUAAUAAUUACCCCCACAAUGCAUUCCCUUAGGCCCAAAUAUGGUGAAGUGUCAUGUAGUCGACAUUCACAUGACACCACUAAGGGAAUCACAACAUACAUAUCAUCAAAACAUCGAACACAUAUCAAGUUCACAUGAUUACUUGCAACAUGAUUUCUUCCAUGACCUCAAGAACAAAAAAGUAACUACUCACAAUGAUAAUCAUGCUCAAGAUCAGAGGAGUAUUAAAUAGCAUAAUGGAUCUGAACAUAUAAUCUUCCACCAAAUAAACCAUAUAAUAAUCAACUACAAGAUGUAAUCAACACUACUAGUCACCCAUAAGUACCAAUAUAUAGUUCCGGUACAAAGAUUGAACACUAGAGAUGAACUAGGGUUUGAGAGGAGAUUGUGAUGUUGAAGAUGUUGAUGGAGAUUGCCCUCCCCAAGAUUGGAGUGUUCGUGAUGAUGAUGACGAUGAUUUCCCCCUCCGGGAGGAAAGUUCCCCCGGCGAAUCGCUUCGUCAGAGGGCGAAAGUGCUCCUGUCCAAGUUCCGCCUCGAGACGGUGGCGCUUCGUCCCGUAAGUCCUCUCCUUAUUUUUUAUAGGUCAAAAUGACGUAUGUGACGCCCCCGAUUCAAUCGUACACUAAUCAUACAUGCAAAUGUGUACGAUCAAGAUCAGGGACUCACGGGAAGAUAUCACAACACAACUCUCGACACAAAUAAAAUAAUACAAGCUUUAUAUUACAAGCCAGGGGCCUCGAGGGCUCAAAAUACAAGCUCGAUACACAAGACUCAGCGGAAGCAACAAUAUCUGAGUACAGCCAUAAGUUAAACAAGGAUGCCUUAAGAAGGCUAGCACAAAAGCAACACGAUCGAAGAGGCAAGGUCUCCUGCCUGGGACCUCCUAACUACUCCUGGUCAUCGGCGGUCUCCACGUAGCAGUAUCUGUCGGCGGUGGCAUCUGGCUCUAUGGAUCCACCAUCUGGUUGCAUCAACCAGAAAGAAGAAAGAAAGGGGAAAAAGGGGUUGCAAAGCAACCGUGCGUACUCAUCCAAAGUACUCGCAAGCAUCAGAUCUAUACUAAGUAUGCAUUGGUAUCAAAUGGAAGGGUUGUAUCUGUGGACUGAACUGCAGAAUGCCAGAAUAGAGGGGAAGGCCUAGCCUAUGGAAGACUAGCAUCUUCAAGCAGCUCCAAGCAUCUUGCAGCAUGUAGAAGAGUAAAGAAUAGCAGUCUAUAAUAUUUAACAAGCAUGUUGUAACAUCAACGCCCAGAUAUCCUUCCUCGACUCCCUGCGAGAAAGUAAUCUCGGAGCCACAUAUCCAUCACAUAUCUCAAGUAUCCAUUUCUAGUUAUAUAAGAUCCGGAUACAAGUCUGAAUGUCUGUUACCAUGGACACGGUAUUCGAAUAUAUAACUUCCCUACAGGGGUGCACCAUGUUACCCAACACGCUCGAUCACUCUGGCCGGACACACCUUUCUAGGGUCAAUGCCCGCCCUCGGAAGAUCAACACAUCGCAGCCCUACCUAGGCACAGCAGAGAGGUCCCCAUCGGUCUACAUCCUAAGCACUCCGGGGUCUGGGCCCAUUGCCCGUUGCACUCCGGAUCGUUGUGCGCAAGGGGAUACCAGCACCACCUGUGAAGUGGAUGGCAUGAUCCGACCCGGCCACAAAUCUGAACUAGACGUCUGACAAAGCUUUGACUGAUACUGCGACGUCGAGGCCCAUAAGUAUUCUCGCAUGGUGGUUAGUGCGUAAAGGCCAGAGGCCAACUCAGAACAAAUACCCAAACCUGUUAGUGCAUUGGGGGCUCACGGAAACAAGCAGAGACUCACGAUAAGGUGACCCCGUCGCCCUGUCUCAUGGACUUACGACAAGGGCCCACACCGCCCGGCCGUGCCACGUGGAAAACUCGUGGGGUGCUCAACGGGCCCGCCCAACUUUCACAUCAACUAGCGGGUACCCCUCAGGGCCGACCCGACUUCAACAAUGGUCUCAAGUAAGGUCAAGGUAACCGUGUGUCUAAAUAUCAAGGGGAAAACCCGAGGAAUCACCCAUGGAGGAUUCCACUCAAUGUAAUCAUCAAGGUGAACGUAAGAGGGACCACCCUCGAGGUUCACACUUGAGGUGUUGAACGACAGAGCCAUAUCGAGAAUGGUGAAAGAGGAAAUCACCCUCGAUGACCACGACCGAAUAGCUACACUACAGAAUUAUCAUCAAGAGUGCGUUAUGAGGGAUCACCCUCGGCACUCGAUGGUAGCUCUGCAGAGUCGAGCAACAAAAGGGGCAUGAUGUGAUGUGAGGUGUCGGGCUCUGGUCAUCGAUCACAUCGAUCGAGGUGUCAAUGAUGAAACAGGGGCAACAAGGACAAGUGGGGGUCACUGAUGGAUCACUAGCCAACCUAUACUAAGCAGUUUAGGCUAAGAAGGUAGGUAACAAUAAGCAGGUACAAAAGCAGGCUAUGCAUCAGAAUAGGAGCAAACAAUAACAGUAGCAAAAUCUAAUGCAAGCAUGAGAGUAUAGAAUGGGCGAUUGUCAGGACCCCGACUCAAUGCCACAUCGAUCUAGCAUGUAACACCUCAUAUCACUUUGCGGCCUCACGCACGGUAUCCCCACGGGUGUCGCCUUACCUUUGCCCGGGACCGUUUGCGCCUUUUGGCACACGUAUAUGAUGGUGUCGCUAGCAUCCAUAUGAUAAAGAGCCCGGGCUGAAAUGGCUAGUCGUAAACCCAAAGUGGCACUAACUUACAGGGACAGGCAUCCAUGACCCAGCAUCGAACGUGUCGGUCAUCAGCGAGUGAAUCCAGGCUGUAGCACUGGGCUAACAGGACUCCGGUGAACCGGGCUGUAGCGGGCUAGCAGGACUCCGGUAUUCAUCGCGUGACAUUUCCCCGAAGGGACAGACACAUGAUCGAAGAAGGACACAUGCCGGCCAGCCUAAGUGUUCCGGAGCAGUAGCAAGCUACCAGGGCUCAGUGGAAGCACUAGGAGACAUUUCCCGGUAAGAGAGACUACUAAGGAUAAACAACUAGAUAGUCAGAUCCCACACAUAGCAAUACACAUUACACGUACGCAUAACAUGCAAGUAUGUGUUGUACAACAUGGCAUCACAGCAUAACUCAACAACUCAUAUAGAUAAGGGCUCAGAAGAGCCAUCAUAGCAUUUAUUACAAACAGGGGUCACAUGACACAACAUUCAGAGCAAUCAAGCAACAAACGGAAGCAUUACAUGUCUGAGUACAGACAUCUAUAAAUGAAAAAGGCUGAAAGCCUGACUAUCUACAACGUCCGAUCAAGAUCGUAGCUGAGGUACAAGCUACUCGUCGAAGUCCACGAGAACACUAAUAAGACCGAAGUCUCCGCUGCAAAAACAUAAAUAAAGCAACAUGAGUACAAAGGUACUCAGCAAGACUUACAUCAGAUCCUAUCAUACAUGCAUUUGUAUCAAGAGAGUAAUGUGGGGUUUAGUUGCAGCAAGCCAGCUUUGACUCUGUGGCUAUCCUGUUCUACGACUACCAGAGACUCUUGAGGUGACAUGGCGCACACGAGUCCACUAAUCACCACACAAUACACUACUAUGGAUUCAUCCCCGUCUCCCUACGAGAAGGCCAUCCAUAGCACUCACACUUGUCUUGAGCAUUUUAGAGUAUCCACUUCAAGUUGUCUAUGUACCAUGUAAGCAUCCAAGAAGUCCAUAACCGCGGACCCGGCUAUUCGAAUAGAUCAUGUUAACCCUGCAGGGGUGUACUUCUUCACACACGCUCUCGCCACUUACCGCCAUGUACACGUCAUGCAUCUCGGCAACCUUCAAGCGGAAGCCUGGCGAGGGUGUCGGCCACGACCUGACUAACCACAGAAGACUCUAAUCCAGGUUUAUCGCCUAUUCGGGUUCCAUCCGCAAGGAGAUCCGGCCGGGGUGUCGCUCAUGGCCCCAAACGAUGUGAGCAGGGUUCCCAAGCCCACCAUCCGGGUGCCACUUGGUACACCGUGCCACCUGUGCCUAGUUUGUCCCAAGCCCACCCUGCCGGGUGCCACUUGGUAGAAAAAUAGCACUACCUACAAACACCAGAAACUAGUUGCGACUCCUGGACAGAGAUCAAGUUGGUUAAUAAGCCGAGAGGGGUCGAGUUACCGGAACCCAAUGUGUGGUAGUAUCGAGUCAUUGGACAACAUACACCGAACUCAGUGCUUAAGGACGGUUCCAGUGAGACAACCCACCAUGUACUCCUACAUGGCCUCUCACCGCUACCUUUACCAAAUCGUGUUCACACACUUCACUCUCAGCAUCAGAACAUAUCGUAACACUCCACUUCAUUCCCAAUGAACCAGACCUGACACAACUCUAAGCAAUAGCAGGCAUAGCAUGGUAGGAACACAACAGUGGCUUCAAUCAACUCCUACACAUGCUAGUGGGUUUCAACUAUUUACUGUGGCAAUGAAAGGUCAUGCAGAGGAAUGGGUUCAACUACCGCAGCACAAAUUAGCAGAUGAAUCCCUGUUGUCCUAAUGCAAUAACUGAGAGCAGGAGCGAGAGAGUAGGGUUUUAUCGAAAUGAACAAGGGGGUUUGCUUGCCUGGUAAAUCAACAGAGGAGGCACUGCUUCACAGACAGGUACUCUGGAACAGACUCCGGAGCAGGACCUAUCGAGAAGGAACAGUGUCGGCAAUCAAUACCAAACAUAUGCAACAAUAUGAUGCAUGAACAUGGCAUGAAGAUGUGAUGCUUUUUGAGCUAAUGCAACUAGUAAUCAUUUGGUUUGAAGUCCAUUUGAACCAUAAGCUCAUAUGCAUCUCCAAAGUAAGCUCUUAUAUAUGCCAUAAUGUGUUUUCACCUAUACAGCAAGUAUAAGUUGGUUUGUCAUGCAUGAAACUAGUACAGAUGGAAAGAUUGCAUUUUUCUGAUAAUUUUUCAUAUAUAAAUUAUUUUAAUCUGAGCUACGGUUGAAUUGAUAUGAAUUUUUGAUGUUUAAAUCAAUUUCUGGAAUUUCCUGAAUUAUUUUAAUUCCAGAAAAUAUAUAUUGCGUCAGCAUUGAGUAAGCAUGACGUCAGCAAGUCAACUGCGGCUGACUGGGUCAAACCUGACGUGUGGGCUCCACACGUCAGUGACAGGGGGUUAAACAGGGGGUUAGAUUAACUUAAUUAAAAGAUUAGGGGGCACCGGGGCCCACAUGUCAGCCUCAGGGGGUUAAUUUAAGCGGUGAUUAGCACUAAGCUAAUCACCUGACGGGCCGGGCCCACAUGGCGGGGCUCAGGCGACGGGGCUCGUCGCCGGCGACCUCUGGACGCGGCGGAGUCCGCGCCACAGGCCACGGGGACGGCGUCUGAGAGCACCGGGGCAUAGCCCGGGCUCGUCCGCAUCUAGGGGAGCAGACGGGAAGCCGCGGGGACGCCGGAGCUCGCCGGAGCAAAGCUCGCGGCGGCGGCCGGAGCUCGGCUUCGAUCGGGAACGGGCUGCGGGGCAUGGGGAGACCACCUGAGGGGCUCGGUGGCACCCUCGUGGCACCGGGAGCACGAUGGGGUGCUCGGUUGCAAGCUGCGGUGGCCAGGGCGACGGCGGCGACAUGAACGGCGGCAGGAAGCUUCGGCCGUGGUGGGGAGGAGGGCUACGGCGAGCGGGCAGCUAAAUGGAGAGAGGGGAACGGUGGCGGAGCUCACCGCGGUUGCAGCGGGCGUCGAAGCGGGCUCAGGGACGCACUGGAGACGGCGAAUCGACGGCGAUGGCGAUCUGCGGCGGCCGGAGGUGAUGAAGGCGACGGCGACGUUCCAGGGCGUCCGGCGCCUUGUGGCUUGACGGAGGAGACGAGGAAGUCGUGGCGGAGCUUCUGCGCGUGUCGGAGAGGCGAGGGGGAGGCUGUGGCGGCGGCUAUGGCGAACGGCGGCGACCGGCGCNNNNNNNNNNNNNNNNNNNNNNNNNNNNNNNNNNNNNNNNNNNNNNNNNNNNNNNNNNNNNNNNNNNNNNNNNNNNNNNNNNNNNNNNNNNNNNNNNNNNNNNNNNNNNNNNNNNNNNNNNNNNNNNNNNNNNNNNNNNNNNNNNNNNNNNNNNNNNNNNNNNNNNNNNNNNNNNNNNNNNNNNNNNNNNNNNNNNNNNNNNNNNNNNNNNNNNNNNNNNNNNNNNNNNNNNNNNNNNNNNNNNNNNNNNNNNNNNNNNNNNNNNNNNNNNNNNNNNNNNNNNNUCGGACACGAGAGAGAGAGAGAGCGAGGGAGAGGAGAGGAAGAAUCGGGGGAGAGUGAGAGGGUACGGGGGGGGGGGGCGUGGAGACGUCCGGGCGUUCCAGGGCGACGAGCAGGGCGCCAGGCAGGCAGGGAGGCUGGUGGCGUGGAGCGGUGGCGCGCGCGCGCGCCGGGCACGCUCCCAUCCCUCUGUCAAGGACGAAGACGACAGAGGAGGGCCAGUGGGCUGGGCCGGCGCUGGCUGCUGGGCCGGCCAGGCCGCACAGGAACUGGGCCGCAGGUAAGUUUCUCCUCUUUUUCUGUUUUCUAAUUUUCUGACAUAUGUUUUGAUUUAGUAAUAAUACUAAAUCAAUUUAUUUCCUUAUGCCCAUUUUUGCAGGAGCUAACUAUAUUAUUCCAAAGCUCCUCAGCAAAUGGCAUAAUUUUUGGACCACAUUUUAUAUACAACAAUAUAUAUCCAAGGCAAAUAAUUAUCGGAUUAAUCCAAAUGGCCAAAAUUAAAUAUCCAUGAGCUCCUAAAAUAUUUGUUUGAAUUUUUUCCUCUGACCAAUAUUUUCAGAGAGCAACAUGAACAUUUCCUUAGACCCUUUUGGAGCAAUUUUUAUUUAGGUCAAUUUCAGAGAUGAUUCUGAGGGUUCCACCAAUCCUCAUUUCAAAUUUAAAUGGAAUAUAAACAUGAUGCACAAAUGACUAGCUAGUCUAGGUCAUACCAGACUAGGGAUGUGACAACUCGCCCCCACUUGAAAGAAUCUCGUCCCGAGAUUCAGGCGUCGACGGAAAGAAAGCGGGGUACUCCAGUCGAAGACGAUCUUCUCGCUCCCAAGUAGCUUCUCUCUCGGAAUGAUGAGACCACUGAACUUUGAGAAACUUGAUGUUCUGACGUCGGGUAACACGCUCUGCUUGAUCAAGAAUGCGAACCGGGUACUCUCGGUAUGUGAGGUUAUCUUGAAGAUCAAGUGUUUCGUGGUCCACUCCGCGGAUGGGAUCCGAGAAGCAACGCCUGAGUUGAGAGACGUGGAAGACAUCAUGAACUCGAGAAAGAUGUGGGGGUAGUUCCAAUUGAUAGGCAACCUCUCCUCGUUUAGCGAGAAUACAAAAAGGACCAAUGUAACGAGGAGCCAACUUGCCCUUGAUACCGAAACGAUGGGUACCCUUCAAAGGAGUAACUCGAAGGUAAGCCUUGUCGCCAAUUUCAUAAGUCAUAUCCUUAUGAUGACGAUCAUACUGACUCUUUUGACGAGAGUGGGCUGUUUUCAAAUUCUCACGGAUGAUGCGAACUUGCUCUUCUGCCUCCUGGAUCAUGUCCGGUCCAAAGAAUUGUCUUUCACCGGUUUCUGACCAGUUCAAAGGUGUUCGACAUCUUCGUCCAUAGAGAACUUCAAAAGGAGCUUUCUUGAGGCUGGAUUGAUAGCUAUUGUUAUAAGCAAACUCAGCAAAAGGAAGAGAUUUCUCCCAAUCCAUACCGAAUGAGAUAACGCAAGCUCUGAGCAUGUCUUCGAGAAUUUGAUUGACCCGUUCCACCUGACCACUCGACUGAGGGUGGAAAGCGGUACUAAAGGAAAGAUGGGUUCCCAUGGCAGUUUGGAAACUCUCCCAGAAAUGAGAAGUGAAAAGACUGCCACGAUCUGAAUUGAUCUCUAGUGGAACACCAUGAAGUGAUACUAUUUGAGAAAUAUAUAAGUCAGCGAGCUGACUAGCAGUGAUACUCUCUCGAACAGGUAGGAAGUGAGCCACUUUGGAAAGACGAUCAACGACUAUGAAGAUAGCGUUAUUCCCCUUCUUGGUCCUGGGAAAACCGGUGAUGAAGUCCAUACCAACUUUAUCCCAUUUCCAUUCAGGAAUAGCUAAAGGCUGAAGGGUGCCAGCAGGUCUUUGAUGCUCUGCCUUAACGCGACGACAAACGUCACAGUUAGCAAUAAACUGAGCGAUUUCUCUCUUCAUCCUAGUCCACCAGAACCUCUGGCGUAGGUCCUGAUACAUCUUAGUACUACCGGGAUGAAUCAUGAGAGGAGAUUCAUGCGCCUCCUUAAGAAUCAAUUGUCGCAGAUGUUGCUUCUUGGGGACCACCAGGCGGUUCCCAAAGAAAACAACACCUCGAUCAUCUAUAGAGAAACUACCAGCAAUACCCUUGGCAAUGUUUCUCUUGAUCCGGGUAAUCCCCGUAUCAUGCUUCUGGGCUUCUAUGAUAAUAUCCACAAGGGUAGGUUUCGCCACCAAGGUAGAAAGAAAUCCGCGAGGAGCUAUGUGAAGAUUAAGCUUACAGAAUUCCUCAUGGAGAAGUGGUUGGCCUUGCUACAACACGAGAUUGUUGCAAUAGGAUUUACGGCUUAACGCAUCAGCCAUGACAUUGGCUUUGCCUGGGGUGUAGGUAAUCCCUAGAUCAUAAUCUGUGAUUAACUCCAACCAACGUCGUUGCCUAAGGUUCAGAUCCGGUUGGGUGAAGAUAUACUUGAGACUCUGGUGAUCGGUGUAGAUCUCGCAACGUUUACCAAGGAGGUAAUGUCCCCAGGUCUUGAGUGCAUAGACUACGGCUGCAAGCUCUAGAUCAUGUGUAGGAUAAUUCUCCUCAUGUGGAUGCAACUAUCGAGAUGCAUAGGCAAUCACAUGACGAUGCUGCAUAAGAAUGCAACCUAGUCCCUAUCGUGAGGCGUCGCAGUAGAUAAUAAAGUCUUUAGUGAAAUCCGGUGGCACAAGUAUGGGAGCAGAAGUCAGGCGUCUUUCCAGUUCCUGAAAACUGUACUCACACUGUGGGGACCACUCGAACUUUUUAUCCUUCUUGAGAAGUUCCGUGAGGGGUUUGGCUACUUUGGAGAAGUUUUCAACAAAGCGGCGACAAUAGCUGGCUAGACCAAGGAAGCUCCUAACUUGUUUAACGGUUUCAGGUGGAGUCCAAUCGAGAACGGCCUUAACUCUCUCGGGGUUGACAGCAAUGCCCUUGCCAGAGAUUACGUGGCCUAGGUAGGUCACUUCUGGCAACCAAAAUUCACACUUGGAGAACUUGGCAUAAAGGCGGUGCUCUCUGAGUUUUUCUAACACAAGUCUAAGAUGUUCGGCAUGCUCUUCCUCGUUCUUCGAGUAAAUAAGAAUAUCAUCGAGGUAAACCACGACGAACUUAUCUAAGUACUCCAUGAAGAUUGAGUUCAUCAAGCGGGAGAAUGUAGCUAGAGCGUUGGUUAGACCAAAGGACAUGACGGUGUACUCGUACUGACCAUAACGAGUAACAAAGGCUGUCUUGGGAAUGUCCCCGUUUCUGAUCUUAAUUUGGUGGUAUCCUAACCUUAAAUCCAUCUUGGAGAAGACUGAGGAUCCAGCGAGCUGAUCAUACAGAUCGUUGAUCCUGGGGAGCGGAUAUUUGUUCUUUAUCGUGACCAAAUUAACGGGACGAUAAUCUACAACCAUCCGGUCCGUACCGUCUUUCUUCUUGACAAAGAGGACGGGGCAAGCCCAAGGAGAAGAACUAGGACGGAUGAAACCUUUUUGCAAGGACUCAUCGAGUUGUUUCUUAAGCUCGGCUAGUUCUAAGGGUGCCAUCUUGUAAGGUCUCCUAGAGAUUGGAGUUGUUCCUGGGAUAAGAUCUAUGACAAACUCUACAUCUCUGUCAGGUGGAACACCUGGUAGUUCCUCUGGAAAGACAUCCGAAAAGUCACGGACUACCGGGAUAUCUUCAAGGUCUGGAAGAGGGCUGGCAUUAAGAGAAUAGAGCUGACCUUUGCAACUCUAGUGGAGACAGUGACUAUCUUGCCAGAUGGGUGGGUAAGCUGGACGGACCUGGUGUAACAAUCAAUCUUGGCAUGAUGAGCUAUCAUCCAGUCCAUACCCAAUAUGAUGUUAAUAUCUGAGGACUGGAGGGCUACAAGUGAGGCAAGGAAUACAAGUCUGCCAACAAGGAUUUCGUUACCAUGGCUUACACUAGAGGUUUGCCAUUUGGAUCCAGGAGUUUGGAUGACUAGCGGAGAGGGCAUACCACAAAAUGACAUGUCAUGCAAACGAGCAUAGUCUUCAGAAAUGAAGGAGUGAGAUGCUCCAGUAUCGAAUAGAACUGAUGUUGGGUGACAAUUGACAAGGAGUGUACCAAGAACGACAUCCGGAUCAUCAUGAGCGUCUUUAGCUGAGACGUGAUGCACACGUCCACGUUCAGUGGGGGCUGACUUGACACUGAUCAUCUUGCAUGAUGGCUUAACACAGCCAACAGUCUUCUCGGGCUGGGGUGGAGCAUAACUAGUCUGAGAGCAGUCACGAGCAUAGUGUCCUGGCUUCCCGCAUGUGAAGCAAGUCCCUGAGGUUGGACGUGGACCCGCACUGACAAGCGGUCUACCAGUAGGCCUGGGUGGAACAUAUGGCUGAACUGGGGGAGGCACCACAUGGGGAGGCCUCGGUGCAUAUCCGGAAGGAAGAGCGGAGUUUGGAACCCAAAUCCGGCGCUUUUGAGAACUAGAACCGGAAGAAGAUCCCAAGUCACGGGUGUGCUUACGAGACUCCUCGUAAGUGAGUUGAGCUGUCUCUGCAUUGAUGGCCUUGUUCACAAGGGCUUGGAAUGUAUCACAAUGAUGUAGGUGGAGAUCACGAUGCAACUUGGGGUUGAGACCCUUCCGGAACCUAGCCUGCUUCUUGGCGUCUGUGGACACUUCUUCUGUGGCAUAGCGAGCGAGGUUCUCAAACUCUCUACUAUAAGCAUCAACAGCCAUCUUACUCUGGGUGAAACUACAGAACUCUUCUCUCUUGCGAUCGAUGAGGGCUUCAGCAAUGUGAUGCUCGCGAAAAGCCUCAGUGAAAUCUCUCCAGGUAGGAAUCUGGCCAGCUGGAAGCAUAGCCUCAUAGUUAUGCCACCAAAGACUAGCAGGACCUUCCAGGUGGUAUGCAGCAUAGGUGACCUUGUCACUUUCAGCUACGCUCGGGGAAUGCAGCUUAUGAGUGAUGCUACGGAGCCAGUCAUCUGCAUCGAGUGGCUCGAUGGAAUGAUGAAAGGUAGGUGGGUGCAAGCGAAUGAAGUCAUGAAUGGUAGCAGAUCGUUUGAACUGAUGUGCGGUGUUCUCCUCGAUGCGUGCCAACAAACGGUUAGACUCACGCUUGUUCCUCUCCAUUUCUAACAUGAACUCUGUCAACGAAGGCGGGUCGGGAGGAUCCUCAUCCCUACCAUCUUCAUGGUUCUGGCUACAAAUAAUAGAACUUGAUGACAUCCUGAGAAACGAAACCAGGGACGGAGUCAGCAUCAACUAUAGACUGUAGAAUGUAGGACAAGGAAUUGGUAUCUCUCGAACUCCUAGGGAAAUUCCGGCAGCAUAACGGCAGUAAAAUGCUCAGAAUGAGACAUCCUACUAAAAAUGGGGUGGUAACAUACUCAUCAGCAUUACUCAAGAUUCUGAGAUCAUACUAAACAGACUACACCGGAAAUACUCAAAACUGGGGUAUGACUCUGAUCAACCAAUCCUAUGGGACUACGGAGUAGUAACACGUGAUCCUGAUAGACAGAAGAGAAAGCCUGGUUCCUUAACCCCGUAGGAAAGAUAGGAUGACUCAGAUCAGAAGGCCAUGAGGUAUAAGGAGUAAAAAGAGCCUUACGUUCCUUCCCACAAUCAAUUCCCUUACAUAACUAAAGAAUUUCUAGACUCAACUUCGACCAGUUUGGCUUGGUAAUCCUACAGGCAGUCAGGCUCUGAUACCAACGCUAUCAGGACCCCGACUCAAUGCCACAUCGAUCUAGCAUGUAACACCUCAUAUCACUUUGCGGCCUCACGCACGGUAUCCCCACGGGUGUCGCCUUACCUUUGCCUGGGACCGUUUGCGCCUUUUGGCACACGUAUAUGAUGGUGUCGCUAGCAUCCAUAUGAUAAAGAGCCCGGGCUGACAUGGCUAGUCGUAAACCCAAAGUGGCACUAACUUACAGGGACAGGCAUCCAUGACCCAGCAUCGAACGUGUCGGUCAUCAGCGAGUGAAUCCAGGCUGUAGCACUGGGCUAACAGGACUCCGGUGAACCGGGCUGUAGCGGGCUAGCAGGACUCCGGUAUUCAUCGCGUGACAUUUCCCCGAAGGGACAGACAUAGGAUCGAAGAAGGACACAUGCCGGCCAGCCUAAGUGUUCCGGAGCAGUAGCAAGCUACCAGGGCUCAAUGGAAGCACUAGGAGACAUUUCUCGGUAAGAGAGACUACUAAGGAUAAACAACUAGAUAGUCAGAUCCCACACAUAGCAAUACACAUUACACGUACGCAUAACAUGCAAGUAUGUGUUGUACAACAUGGCAUCACAGCAUAACUCAACAACUCAUAUAGAUAAGGGCUCAGAAGAGCCAUCAUAGCAUUUAUUACAAACAGGGGUCACAUGACCCAACAUUCAGAGCAAUCAAGCAACAAACGGAAGCAUUACAUGUCCGAGUACAGAAGUCUAUAAAUGAAAAAGGCUGAAAGCCUGACUAUCUACAACGUCCGAUCAAGAUCGUAGCUGAGGUACAAGCUACUCGUCGAAGUCCAUGAGAACACUAAUAAGACCGAAGUCUCCGCUGCAAAAACAUAAAUAAAGCAACAUGAGUACAAAGGUACUCAGCAAGACUUACAUCAGAUCCUAUCAUACAUGCAUUUGUAUCAAGAGAGUAAUGUGGGUUUAGUUGCAGCAAGCCAGCUUUGACUCUGUGGCUAUCCUGUUCUACGACUACCAGAGACUCUUGAGGUGAUAUGGCGCACACGAGUCCACUAAUCACCACACAAUACACUACUAUGGAUUCAUCCCCGUCUCCCUACGAGAAGGCCAUCCAUAGCACUCACACUUGUCUUGAGCAUUUUAGAGUAUCCACUUCAAGUUGUCUAUGUACCAUGUAAGCAUCCAAGAAGUCCAUAACCGCGGACCCGGCUAUUCGAAUAGAUCAUGUUAACCCUGCAGGGGUGUACUUCUUCACACACGCUCUCGCCACUUACCGCCAUGUACACGUCAUGUAUCUCGGCAACCUUCAAGCGGAAGCCUGGCGAGGGUGUCGGCCACGACCUGACUAACCACACAAGACUCUAAUCCAGGUUUAUCGCCUAUUCGGGUUCCAUCCGCAAGGAGAUCCGGCCGGGGUGUCGCUCACGGCCCCAAACGAUGUGAGCAGGGUUCCCAAGCCCACCAUCCGGGUGCCACUUGGUACACCGUACCACCUGUGCCUAGUCUGUCCCAAGCCCACCCUGCCGGGUGCCACUUGGUAGAAAAAUAGCACUACCUACAAACACCAGAAACUAGUUGCGACUCCUGGACAGAGAUCAAGUUGGUUAAUAAGCCGAGAGGGGUCGAGUUACCGGAACCCAAUGUGUGGUAGUAUCGAGUCAUUGGACAACAUACACCGAACUCAGUGCUUAAGGACGGUUCCAGUGAGACAACCCACCAUGUACUCCUACAUGGCCUCUCACCGCUACCUUUACCAAAUCGUGUUCACACACUUCACUCUCAGCAUCAGAACAUAUCGUAACACUCCAGUUCAUUCCCAAUGAACCAGACCUGACACAACUCUAAGCAAUAGCAGGCAUAGCAUGGUAGGAACACAACAGUGGCUUCAAUCAACUCCUACACAUGCUAGUGGGUUUCAACUAUUUACUGUGGCAAUGACAGGUCAUGCAGAGGAAUGGGUUCAACUACCGCAGCACAAAGUAGCAGAUGAAUCGCUGUUGUCCUAAUGCAAUAACUGAGAGCAGGAGCGAGAGAGUAGGGUUUUAUCGAAAUGAACAAGGGGGUUUGCUUGCCUGGUAAAUCAACAGAGGAGGCACUGCUUCACAGACAGGUACUCUGGAACAGACUCCGGAGCAGGACCUAUCGAGAAGGAACAGUGUCGGCAAUCAAUACCAAACAUAUGCAACAAUAUGAUGCAUGAACAUGGCAUGAAGAUGUGAUGCUGUUUGAGCUAAUGCAACUAGUAAUCAUUUGGUUUGAAGUCCAUUUGAACCAUAAGCUCAUAUGCAUCUCCAAAGUAAGCUCUUAUAUAUGCCAUAAUGUUUUUUCACCUAUACAGCAAGUAUAAGUUGGUUUGUCAUGCAUGAAACUAGUACAGAUGGAAAGAUUGCAUUUUUCUGGUAAUUUUUCAUAUAUAAAUUAUUUUAAUCUGAGCUACGGUUGAAUUGAUAUGAAUUUUUGAAGUUUAAAUCAAUUUCUGGAAUUUCCUGAAUUAUUUUAAUUCCAGAAAAUAUAUAUUGCGUCAGCAUUGAGUAAGCAUGACGUCAGCAAGUCAACUGCGGCUGACUGGGUCAAACCUGAUGUGUGGGGUCCACACGUCAGUGACAGGGGGUUAAACAGGGGGUUAGAUUAACUUAAUUAAAAGAUUAGGGGGCACCGGGGCCCACAUGUCAGCCUCAGGGGGUUAAUUUAAGCGGUGAUUAGCACUAAGCUAAUCACCUGACGGGCCGGGCCCACAUGGCGGGGCUUAGGCGACGGGGCUCGCCGCCGGCGACCUCUGAAUGCGGCGGAGUCCGCGCCACAGGCCACGGGGACGGCGUCUGAGAGCACCGGGGCGUAGCCCGGGCUCGUCCGCAUCCAGGGGAGCAGACGGGAAGCCGCGGGGACGCCGGAGCUCGCCGGAGCAAAGCUCGCGGCGGCAGCCGGAGCUCGGCUUCGAUCGGGAACGGGCUGCGGGGCACGGGGAGACCACCUGAGGGGCUCGGUGGCACCCUCAUGGCACCGGGAGCACGAUGGGGUGCUCGGUUGCAAGCUGCGGUGGCCAGGGUGACGGCGGCGACAUGAACGGCGGGAGGAAGCUUCGGCCAUGGUGGGGAGGAGGGCUACGGCGGGCGGGCAGCUAAAUGGAGAGAGGGGAACGGUGGCGGAGCUCACCACGGUUGCAGCGGGCGUCGAAGCGGGCUCGGGGACGCACUGGAGACGGCGAAUCGACGGUGAUUGCGAUCUGCGGCGGCCGGAGGUGAUGAAGGCGACGGCGACGUUCCAGGGCGUCCAGCGCCUUGUGGCUUGACGGAGGAGACGAGGAAGUCGUGGCGGAGCUUCUGCGCGUGUCGGAGAGGCGAGGGGGAGGCUGUGGCGGCGGCUAUGGCGAACUGCGGCGACCGGCGCGUUCGGACACGAGAGAGAGAGAGCGAGGGAGAGGAGAGGAAGAAUCGGGGGAGAGUGAGAGGGUACGGGGGGGCGUGGAGACGUCCGGGCAUUCCAGGGCGACGAGCAGGGCGCCAGGCAGGCAGGGAGGCUGGUGGCGUGCCGCGGUGGCGCGCGCGCGCGCCGGGCACGCUCCCAUCCCUCUGUCGAGGACGAAGACGACAGAGGAGGGCCAGUGGGCUGGGCCGGCGCUGGCUGCUGGGCCGGCCAGGCCGCACAGGAGCUGGGCCGCAGGUAAGUUUCUCCUCUUUUUCUGUUUUCUAAUUUUCUGACAUAUGUUUUGAUUUAGUAAUAAUACUAAAUCAAUUUAUUUCCUUAUGCCCAUUUUUGCAGGAUCUAACUAUAUUAUUCCAAAGCUCCUCAGCAAAUGGCAUAAUUUUUGGACCACAUUUUAUAUAUAACAAUAUAUAUCCAAGGCAAAUAAUUAUCGGAUUAAUCCAAAUGGCCAAAAUUAAAUAUCCAUGAGCUCCUAAAAUAUUUGUUUGAAUUUUUUCCUCUGACCAAUAUUUUCAGAGACAUGAACAUUUCCUUGGACCCUUUUGGAGCAAUUUUUAUUUAGGUCAUUUUCAGAGAUGAUUCUGAGGGUUCCACCAAUCCUUAUUUCAAAUUUAAAUGGAAUAUAAACAUGAUGCACAAAUGACUAGCUAGUCUAGGUCAUACCAGACUAGGGAUGUGACAGCGAUACCGGGAUGAUCAAAGGGGGGGGCUUGCCUGGUUGCUCAGGCGAGAAGGAGGGGUCGUCGUCGACGUAUUCGACCACAGGGGCAUCAGUAGCGGUCUCGAGGUCUACCGAAGAAGAAGAGGGGGAAGAAAUAGUAAAUACACACAAACAUACAGCAUGACAUGACACUAAGCGGGUCUAGAAGUGUUCUAACGCAGCGCUAGGCGAUACUGGCGAAGGGGGGAACAUCCGGGAAAGUUUUCCCAGUUUCGGACGUCUGUCAGACAGAUGAACCAGAGGGAAAGGUUGCAUGUUUUCUAUGCUAGGGAUGUGUGGCGGGCGAACAGACCGCGCAUUUGAAUUCGUCUCCUCGUUCUGAGCAACUUUCAUGUAGAAAACCUUUUCAUCUGAGUUACGGAUUAUUUUAUAUGAUUUUCUAAAGUUGUAGUAAUAAUCUGGAAUUAAUGGAUUUAAUUAAAAGGAAAACAUGGUUAUGACAUCAGCAUGACAUCAUUAUGACGUCAGCAGUCAACAGAGUUAACCAAAGUCAACCAUGACGUGUGGGGCCGGUCAAUGCCAGUCAGCAGUACAGUCGGCAUUAACUGGGUCAAAGUUGAUCAGUCAACAGGGUCAAUGGGGCACAUGUGUCAGUGUCACAUAUUUUAAAAGGGGUUUAAAUUAAACUAACUAGUGGUGGGGACACAUUGUCAUAGAGUCCUCUGCCUAACUAAUUAGUUAAUUAGGCAAAAUUAAUUAAGUUAGUUAACUGUUUAACUAAUCAAUUAAUUAUUUAUAUUAAUAUAUUUUUUAAAAAAACUUUUUUUAUUAUUACACAGGGGCGUGGGGCCCCAACAUCAGUGGCCCAAGGGGUUAAUCGGGCGACGGGUGAGCGCCCGUGCGAGGGCACGGGGCAACAAGGGCGCCGGCGAGGCCAUGGCGCCGUCCGGGGAGGGGCGUGGCCAGGCCGGGCGGCGACGACCAGAGUGGGGCGACGGGUGUAUGGGCACGGGCGCAGCAGCGAGCACACGGGCUCCGGGCGUGGCGGGGCGCACAUGACGCGGGCAAGCACGAGCCGGGGCACGGGACCGCGAGGAGCACAGGCAGGGGAGCAGCGACUGAUACGUCCAUUUUGCAUCAUGCUUUUAUAUCGAUAUUUAUUGCAUUAUGGGUUGUUAUUACACAUUAUGUCUCACUACUUAUGGCUAUUCUCUCUUAUUUUACAAGGUUUACCAUGAAGAGGGGGGAUGCCGGCAGCUAGAAAUUCUGGCUGGAAAGGAGAAAAUAUUGGAAACCUAUUCUGCACAGCUCCAAAAAUCCUAAAACUCCACGAAAGCUAUUUUUGGAAUUAAUAAGAAUUACUGAGCGAAGAAAGCACCAGAGGGGGCCCACACCCUGGCCGGGAGGGUGGGGGCGCGCCCCCUGUCUCCUGGGCCCCCUGGUGGCCCUCCGGUGCCCAUCUUUUGCUAUAUGAAGGCUUUUACCCUGGAAAAAAUCAGAGGCAAGCUUACGGGUCGAAACUCCGCUGCCACGAGGCGGAACCUUGGCGGAAUCAAUCUAGGGCUCCGGCGGAGCUGUUCUGCUGAGGAAACUUCCCUUUGGGAGGGGAAAAUCAUCACUAUCGUCAUCACCAACGAUCCUCUCAUCGGGAGGGGGUCAAUCUCCAUCAACAUGUUCACCAACACCAUCUCCUCUCAAACCCUAGUUCAUCUCUUGUAUCCAAUCUUGUAUCCAAAACCACAAGUUGUUACCUGUGGGUUGCUAGUAGUGUUGAUUACUCCUUGUAGUUGAUGCUAAUUGGUUUAUUUGGUGGAAGAUCAUAUGUUCAGAUCCUUAAUGCAUAUUAUUACUCCUCUGAUUAUGAACAUGAAUAUGAUUUGUGAGUAGUUAUGUUUGUUCCUGAGGACAUGGGUGAAGUCUUGCUAUUAGUAGUCAUGUGAAUUUGGUAUUCGUUUGAUAUUUUGAUGAGAUGUAUGUUGUAUUUCCUCUAGUGGUGUUAUGUGAACGUCGACUACAUGACACUUCACCAUUAUUUGGGCCUAGAGGAAGGCAUUGGGAAGUAAUAAGUAGAUGAUGGGUUGCUAGAGUGACAGAAGCUUAAACCCUAGUUUAUGUGUUGCUUCGUAAGGGGCUGAUUUAGAUCCAUAUGUCUAAUGUUGUGGUUAGGUUUACCUUAAUACUUCUUUUGUAGUUGCGGAUGCUUUCACUAGGGGUUAAUCAUAAGUGGGUUGCUUGUCCAAGUAAGGGCAGUACCCAAGCACCGGUCCACCCACAUAUCAAAUUUUCAAAGUACCGAACGCGAAUCAUAGGAGCGUGAUGAAAACUAGCUUGACAAUAAUUCCCAUGUGUCCUCGGGAGCUCUUUUCUCAUUAUAAGAAAUUGUCCAGGCUUGUCCUUUACUACAAAAAGGAUUGGGCCACCUUGCUGCACUUUAUUUACUCUCAUUGCUUAUUACUCGUUACAAUUUAUCUUAUCACAAAACUAUCUGUUACUUACAAUUUCAAUGUUUGCAGAGAAAACCUUACUGAAAACCUCUUGGCAUUUCCUUCUGCUCCUCGUUGGGUUCGACACUCUUACUUAUCGAAAGGACUACGAUAGAUCCCGUCUUUUCUGGCGCCGUUGUCGGGGAAUGAAGCGCCUUUGGUGAGUGGAACUUGGUAAGGAAACAUUUAUAUAGUGUGCUGAAAUUUUCUGUCACUUGUCACUAUGGAAACUAAUCCUUUGAGGGGCUUGUUCAGGGUAUCUUCACCCCGACAAGAAGAGCAAAGAGUUGCUCCUCAACCUACUAAACCUACUGAAAAUGUUUACUUUGAGAUUCCUUCGGGUAUGAUAGAGAAACUGCUAGCUAAUCCCUUUGCAGGAGAUGGAACAUUGCAUCCCAAUUUACACCUUAUCUUUGUGGAUGAAGUUUGUGGAUUAUUUAAGCUUGCAGGUUCCCGAUGAUGUUGUCAAAAGGAAGGUAUUCCCUUUAUAUUUGAAGGGAGAUGCAUUGACAUGGUAUAGGCUAUGUGAUGAUAUUGGAUCUUGGAAUUAUAAACGAUUGAAGUUGGAAUUUCACCAGAAGUUCUAUCCUAUGCAUCUUGUUCAUCGUGAUCGUAAUUACAUAUAUAAUUUCUGGCCUCGCGAAGGAGAAAGCAUCGCUCAAGCUUGGGGGAGGCUUAAGUCAAUGUUGUAUUCAUGCCCCAAUCAUGAGCUCUCCAGAGAAAUGAUUAUUCAAAAAAUUUAUGCUCGGCUUUCUCCCAAUGAUCGCAACAUGCUCGAUACUUCCUGUGCUGGUUCUUAUAUGCUGAAGACUAUUGAAUUCAAAUGGGAUUUAUUGGAAAUAAUUAAACGCAACUCCGAAGAUUGGGGCUCCGACGAUGGUAAGGAGUCAGGUAUAACAUCUAAGUUUGAUUGUGUUAAAUCUUUUAUGGAUACCGAUGUUUUUCGUGGAUUUAGCGCUAAGUAUGGACUUGACUCUGAGAUAGUAGCUGCUUUUUCUGAAUCUUUUGCUACUCACGUUGAUCUCCCUAAGGAGAAAUGGUUUAAAUAUAAUCCUCCGAUUGAAGUAAAAGUAGUUGCACCUAUUACAGUUGAAGAAAAGGCUGUCACUUAUAAUGAUCCUAUUGUUCCUACUACUUAUGUUGAGAAACCUCCUUUUCCUGUUAGGAUAAAGGAUCAUGCUAAAACUUCGACUGUUGUUCGUAAGAGUAAUACUAGAACUUUUACACCUCCUGAGAAAAUUAAAGUUUAACCUAGUAUUUCUAUGGUGAAAGAUCUCUUGGAUGAUAAUUUAGAUGGGCAUGUUAUUUAUUUCUGUGGUGAGACUGCUAAUAUUGUUAGACCAGAUGCUAAGAUACAUAGACCUGUUGUAGGCAUGCCUGUUAUUUCUGUUAAAAUAGGAGAUCAUUGUUAUCAUGGCUUAUGUGAUAUGGGUGCUAGUGCUAGUGCAAUACCCUAUGACUUAUAUAAAGAAAUUAUGCAUGAUAUUGCUCCUGCUGAAUUGGAAGGUAUUGAUGUUACUAUCAAGCUUGCCAAUAGAGAUACUAUUUCACCAGUUGGGAUUGUUAGAGAUGUUGAAGUCUUGUGUGGGAAGGUUAAAUAUCCUGCUGAUUUUCUUAUUCUUAGUUCCCCACAAGAUGAUUUUUGUCCCAUUAUUUUUGGUAGACCCUUCUUGAAUACUGUUAAUGCUAGGAUUGAUUGCGAAAAGGAUAUUGUUGAAAUUGGCUUAGGGGAUAUGUCUCAUGAGUUUAAUUUUGCUAAGUUUCAUAGACAACCCCAUGAUAAAGAAUCACGUAGUAUAGAUGAGAUUAUUGGUCUUGCUUCUAUUGCCACGCCUCCUACUGAUUCGUUAGAACAAUAUUUGCUAGACCAUGAAAAUGAUAUGUUUAUGAAUGAAAGAAGGGAAAUAGAUGAAGUGUUCCUUCAACAGGGUCCUAUUCUGAAACACAACUUACCUAUUGAAAUCCUAGGGGAUCCCCCUCCACCCAAGGGUGAUCCUGUGUUUGAACUCAAACCAUUACCUGAUAAUCUUAAGUAUGCUUAUCUUGAUGAAAAGAAAAUAUAUCAUGUUAUUAUUAGUUCUAACCUUUCAGAGCAAGAAGAAGAAAGAAUAUUGAAAACUAUGAAGAAGCAUCGUGCUGCUAUUGGAUAUACUCUGGAUGAUCUUAAGGGCAUUAGUCCCACUCUAUGCCAACACAAAAUAAAUGUGGAGAAAGACGCCAAACUAGUUAGAGAUCCUCAAUGACGGUUGAAUCCUAAGAUGAAAGAAGUGGUAAGAAAGGAGAUACUAAAGCUCCUUGAGGCAGGUAUAAUUUAUCCCGUUGCUGAUAGUGAUUGGUAAGUCAUGUCCAUUGUGUUCCUAAAAAGGGAGGUAUUACUGUUGUUCCUAAUGAUAAAGAUGAAUUGAUCCCGCAAAGAAUCAUUACAGGUUAUAGGAUGGUAAUUGAUUUUCAUAAAUUAAAUAAAGCUACUAAGAAAGAUCAUUACCCUUUACCUUUUAUUGAUCAAAUGCUAGAAAGACUAUCCAAACACACACAUUUAUGCUUUCUAGAUGGUUAUUCUGGUUUCUCUCAAAUACCUGUGUCAGCGGAGGAUCAAUCAAAAACUACUUUUACUUGCCCUUUUGGUACUUUUGCUUAUAGAUGUAUGCCUUUUGGUUUAUGUAAUGCACCUUCUACCUUUCAAAGAUGCAUGAUGGCUAUAUUCUCUAACUUUUGUGAAAAGAUUUGUGAGGUAUUCAUGGAUGAUUUCUCCGUUUAUGGAUCCUAUUUUGAUGAUUGCUUGAGCAACCUUGAUCAAGUUUUGCAGAGAUGUGAAGACACUAGUCUCGUGUUGAAUUGGGAAAAGUGCCACUUUAUGGUUAAUGAAGGCAUUGUCUUGGGGCAUAAGAUUUCCGAGAGAGGUAUUGAAGUUGAUAAAGCUAAAGUUGAUGCUAUUGAAAAGAAGCCAUGUCCCAAGGACAUAAAAGGUAUAAGAAGUUUCCUUGGUCAUGUCGGUUUUUAUAGGAGGUUCAUUAAGGACUUUUCUAAAAUCUCUAGGCCUUUGACUAAUUUAUUGCAAAAAGAUAUUCCUUUUGUCUUUGAUGAUGAUUGUGUAGAAGCAUUUGAAAUACUCAAGAAAGCUUUGAACACUGCACCUAUUGUUCAGCCACCUGAUUGGAAUUUACCUUUUGAAAUUAUGUGUGAUGCUAAUGAUUAUGUUGUAGGUGUUGUUCUAGGGCAAAGAGUUGAUAAGAAAUUGAAUGAUCCAGUAUGCUAGUAAAACUCUUGAUACUGCCCAAAGAAAUUAUGCCACUACUGAAAAAUAGUUCUUAGCAUUUGUAUUUGCUUGUGAUAAGUUUAGACCUUAUAUUGUUGAUUCUAAAGUUACUAUUCACACUGAUCAUGCUGCUUCUUAUGGAAAAGAAAGAUGCUAAGCCUAGACUUAUUAGAUGGGUUCUCUUGCUCCAAGAAUUUUAUUUGCAUAUUAUUGAUAGAAAGGGAGCUGAGAACCCCGUUGCAGACAACUUGUCUAGGUUAGAGAAUGUUCUUGAUGACCCACUACCUAUUGAUGAUAGCUUUCCUGAUGAACAAUUAGCGGUCAUUAAUGCUUCUCGUACUACUCCAUGGUAUGCUGAUUAUGCUAAUUACAUUGUUGCUAAAUUUAUACCACCUAGUUUCACAUACCAACAAAAGAAAAAGUUCUUUUAUGAUUUAAGACAUUACUUCUGGGAUGACCCACACCUUUAUAAAGAAGGAGUAGAUGGUGUUAUUAGACGUUGUGUACCUGAGCAUGAACAGGAACAAAUCCUACGCAAGUGUCAUUCUGAAUCAUAUGGAGGACACCACGCUGGAGAUAGAACUGCACAUAAGGUAUUGCAAUCCGGUUUUUAUUGGCCUACUCUCUUCAAAGAUGCUCGUAAUUUUGUCUUGUCUUGUGAUGAAUGUCAAAGAAUUGGUAAUAUUAGUAGACGUCAAGAAAUUCCUAUGAAUUAUUCUCUUGUUAUUGAACCGUUUGAUGUUUGGGGAUUUGAUUAUAUGGGACCUUUUACUGCCUCUAAUGGUUAUACACAUAUUUUAGUUGUUGUUGAUUACGUUACUAAGUGGGUAGAAGCUAUUCCAACUAGUAGUGAUGAUCAUAACACUUCUAUUAAAAUGCUUAAAGAAGUUAUUUUUCCUGAGGUUUGGAGUCCCUAGAUAUCUUAUGACUGAUGGUGGUUCACAUUUUAUUCCUGGUGCUUUCCGUAAGAUGCUUGCUAAGUAUGAUGUUAAUCAUAGAAUCACAUCUCCUUAUCACCCGCAGUCUAGUGGUCAAGUAGAGUUGAGCAAUAGAGAGCUCAAAUUAAUUUUGCAAAAGACUGUGAAUAGAUCUAGAAAGAACUGGUCCAAAAAACUUGAUGAUGCAUUAUGUAUAGAACUGCAUAUAAAAAUCCUAUGGGUAUGUCUCCGUAUAAGAUGGUUUAUGGAAAAGCAUGUCACUUACCUCUUGAACUUGAACAUAAAGCAUACUGGGCUAUUAAAGAGCUCAAUUAUGACUUCAAACUUGCCGGUGAGAAGAGGUUAUUUGAUAUUAGCUCACUUGAUGAAUGGAGAAACCAAGCCUAUGAGAAUGCCAAGCUAUUCAAAGAAAAAGUCAAACACUAGCAUGACAAAAGGAUACAAAAGAGUGAGUUUAACGUAGGUGAUUAUGUGUUACUAUUCAACUCUCAUUUAAGAUUUUUUGCAGGAAAACUUCUCUCUAAAUGGGAAGGUCCUUAUGUUAUCGAGGAGGUCUAUCGUUUCGGUGCCAUAAAAAUCAACAACUUCGAAGGCACAAGUCCGAGGGUGGUGAAUGGUCAAAGAAUUAAACAUUAUAUCUCAGGUAAUCCUAUCAAUGUUGAAACUAAUAUUAUUGAGACCGUAACCCCGGAGGAAUACAUAAGGGACACUUUCCAGAACGUUUCAGACUCCGAAAAGGAAUAGGUAUGUGGUACGGUAAGUAAACCGACUCCAAAGCAGUUCUAAUGGCAAUUUUCCUCCGUUUUUGAAUAUUUAAGAAUUUUGGAAAGAAAUAAGUAGUCCGGGAAGGACACGAGGCCUCCACGAGGGUGGAGGGUGCGCCCACCCUUACUAGGCGCUCCCCCCUGUCUCGUGGCCACCUCGUGUGCCUCCCGGACUCCAUUUUCUUGCAUGUUACGUAUUUUUGUCGGUAAAAAUUCAUUAUAUAAUCUCCUGAAGGUUUUGACUACUGUAUCACGCAUAUAUCCUCUGUUUUCGUUUCGAGCUGUUUUUCUGACAGAUCUAGAGCACCAUGAUGUUGCCCCCCUUCAACAAUGAAGACAAGGAUGCUUGGCUAUUGAAGAUAGAGCUGAAAACAGAAGAACCUAAAGAGAUCAACAAGGAUGAAGGGAUUAAGAAGGCCAUGGAGGUUCAAGCUCCGGCGGUGGAAGAAGAAGACAUCCCCCAACCUUUACCUAACAUCUUUACUCCAACUGAGAUUGAAGCUUUCAAGAUGAUUGAGUUAGCUCGCAUACAGAAUAAGUAUCUCACACGGGAGAAUAUUUUGUUGAAGGAUCAUAUCGCCGGACUCAAGGGCAUUAUCCGCAAGUUGGAGGAGCUUUUACGCUCGAUGUGCGAUUAUCCACCAUCAUCAUCACCACCUCCAUCACCUCCGAGGACAUAAUUACAUGGGUAUGGGCACUCCCCUUGGCAACUGCCAAGCUUGGGGGAGGUGCCCCGGUAUCGUAUCACCAUCACACUCCUAUCUUUACCGUUUUACUUAGUUUGAUUAUUUUAGUAGUAUCUUGAUCUAGUAGAUUGAAGUUUUGGUGUGAAUUAGUUUUAAGUUUUGCUUUGUGAUCUCUUUCUGUAAUCAAGUCCGUGAGCUAUCUAUAAUAAAGAUUAGUGUUGAGUCAAGGGCUUCGCUAUCUUGCUAUGAUCUUGAGAAAGUAGAAAGAACAAAAAGAAUAAAAGAGUUCAUAUUGAUCUCAUGGAUAGUAAUGACUUCACACAUAAAGAGUAUGAGGCAUAAAAGUUGUUGAGAGUUGACAAACAUAGCUUUGGUCAUCGUUGCAAUUAAUAGGAAGUAAUAAGGAAAGAGAGGUUUUCACAUAUAAAUAUACUAUCUUCGACAUCUUUUAUGAUUGUGAGCACUCAUUAAGUAUGACAUGCUAAAAGAGUUGAUGUUGGACAAGGAAGACAACGUAAUGGUUUAUGUUUCCUCACAUCUCAUUUAAAGUAUAUUGUCAUUGAUCUUCCCAACAUGUUGAGCUUGCCUUUCCCCCUCAUGCUAGCCAAAUUCCUUGCACCAAGUAGAGAUACUACUUGUGCUUCCAAAUAUCCUUAUACCCAGUUUUUGCCAGGAGAGUCCACCAUACCUACCUAUGGAUUGAGAAGAGCCUUCAAGUAAGUUGUCAUCGGUGCAAGCAAUAAAAAUUCCUCUCUAAAUAUGUAUGAUCUAUUAGUGUGAAAAAAUAAGCUUUAUACGAUCUUGUUAUGGAAGCAAUAAAAGCGACGGACUGCAUAAUAAAGGUCCAUAUACAAGUGGCAAUAUAAAGUGAUGUUCUUUUGCAUUAAGAUUUUGUGCAUCCAACCCUAAAAGCGCAUGACAGCCUCUGCUUCCCUCUGCGAAGGGCUUGUCUUUUACUUUAUGUUUUUACUUUAUGCUUGAGUCAAGGUGAUCUCCACCUUUCCCUUCUAUUUUUAUCCUUUGGCAAACUCCUCGUGUUUGAAAGAUCCUGGAAUAUAUAUCCAAUUGGAUGUAAGUUAGCAUGAACUAUUAUUGUUGACAUCACCCAAAGGUGAAUACGUUGGGAGGCAACACAAUAAGCCCCUAUCUUUCUCAGUGUCCGAUUAAAACUCCAUAACCACAAGUAUUGCGUGAGUGUUAGCAAUUGUAGAAGACUAUAUGAUAGUUGAGUAUGUGGACCUGCUGAAAAGCUCUAUUCUUGACUCUUUCUGAUGUUAUGAUAAAUUGCAAUUGCUUCAAUGACUGAGAUUAUAGUUUGUUAGUUCUCAAUGAAGUUUUUUGAACCAUACUUGACAUUGUGAAUUGAUUGUUACUUGAGCAUAAGAAAUCAUAUGACAAAAUCUAUAUAUGUUGCUAUUAUAAGAAUGAUCAUGAUGCCCUCAUGUCCGUAUUUUAUUUUUAUCGACACCUCUAUCUCUAAACAUGUGGACAUAUUUUUCGAUUUUAGCUUCCGCUUGAGGACAAGCAAGGUCUAAGCUUGGGGGAGUUGAUACGUCCAUUUUGCAUCAUGCUUUUAUAUCGAUAUUUAUUGAAUUAUGGGCUGUUAUUACACAUUAUGUCUCAAUACUUAUGGCUAUUCUCUCUUAUUUUACAAGGUUUACCAUGAAGAGGGGGGGUGCCGGCAGCUAGAAUUCUGGCUGGAAAAGGAGCAAAUACUGGAAACUUAUUCUGCACAACUCCAAAAAUCCUCAAACUCCACGAAAGCUAUUUUUGGAAUUAAUAAGAAUUAUUGAGCGAAGAAAGCACCAGAGGGGGCCCACACCCUGGCCAGGAGGGUGGGGGGCGCGCCCACCCCUACUGGGCACGCCCCCUAUCUCCUGGCCCCCCUGGUGGCCCUCCGGUGCCCAUCUUCUGCUAUAUGAAGGCUUUUACCCUGGAAAAAAAUCAGAGGCAAGCUUACAGGACGAAACUCCGCCGCCACGAGGCAGAACCUUGGUGGAAUCAAUCUAGGGCUCUGGCGGAGCUGUUCUGUUGGGGAAACUUCCAUUUGGGAGGGGGAAAUCAUCACCAUCGUCAUCACCAACGAUCCUCUCAUCGGGAGGGGGUCAAUAUCCAUCAACAUCUUCACCAGCACCAUCUCCUCUCAAACCCUAGUUCAUCUCUUGUAUCCAAUCUUGUAUCCAAAACCAUAGAUUGGUACAUGUGGGUUGCUAGUAGUGUUGAUUACUCCUUGUAGUUGAUGCUAAUUGGUUUAUUUGGUGGAAGAUCAUAUGUUCAGAUCCUUAAUGCAUAUUAGUACUCCUCUGAUCAUGAACAUGAAUAUGCUUUGUGAGUAGUUACGUUUGUUCUUGAGGACAUGGGUGAAGUCUUGCUAUUAGUAGUCAUGUGAAUUUGAUAUUCGUUCGAUAUUUUGAUGAGAUGUGUGUUGUCUUUCCUCUAGUGGUGUUAUGUGAACGUCGACUACAUGACACUUCACCAUUAUUUGGGCCUAGAUGAAGGCAUUGGGAAGUAAUAAGUAGAUGAUGGGUUGCUAGAGUGACAGAAGCUUAAACCCUAGUUUAUGCGUGUCUUCGUAAGGGGCUGAUUUGGAUCCAUAUGUCUAAUGUUGUGGUUAGGUUUACCUUAAUACUUCUUUUGUAGUUGCGGAUGCUUGCAAUAGGGGUUAAUCAUAAGUGGGUUGCUUGUCCAAGUAAGGGAAGUACCCAAGCACCGGUCCACCCACAUAUCAAAUUAUCAAAGUAUUGAACGCAAAUCAUAUGAGCGUGAUGAAAACUAGCAUGACGAUAAUUCCCAUGUGUCCUCGGGAGCUCUUUUCUCAUUAUAAGAAAUUGUCGAGGAUUGUCCUUUGCUACAAAAAGGAUUGGGCCACCUUGCUGCACUUUAUUUACUUUCAUUGCUUGUUACUCGUUACAAUUUAUCUUAUCACAAAACUAUGUGUUACUUACAAUUUCAGUGCUUGCAGAGAAAACCUUACUGAAAACCGCUUGUCAUUUCCUUCUGCUCCUCGUUGGGUUCGACACUCUUACUUAUCGAAAGGACUAUGAUAGAUCCCCUAUACUUGUGGGUCAUCGGCGACACGGGGCUGGAUGCGGUCACGGUCAUGGUGACCGCCACCACUUGACGAAGACCAGGCAGCGCGAACGACGGCCUACGGCAGCAAAACAAGGAGAGGGAAGAGGACGACGGAUGGCCGCUCACAUCGGAGCCGUAGGGGAGCGGCAAUGGGCUCUGUUCUUUGUGAACUUAAUACUCUAGAUGUAGGCAGGAGUCUGUCGAUGUGUGGAGUAAUAGUAGUAGAUGCAGGUAGCAGUCGGUCUACUUGUUGCGGACGUGAUACCUAUAUACAUGAUCAUGCCUAGAUAAUCUCAUAAUUAUUCACUUUUCUAUCAAUUGCUCGACAGUAAUUUGUUCACCCACCGUAAUACUUAUGCUAUCUCGAGAGAAGCCUCUAGUGAAACUUAUGGCCCCUGGGUCUAUCUCUUAUCAUAUUUGCUUCAAAUCUACUUUUAUUUGUAUUUUUACUUUUUGCAUCUAUAUUAUAAAAUACCAAAAAUAUACUUAUCUUAUCGUACUAUCUCUAUCAGAUCUCACUUUUGCAAGUGGCCAUGAAGGGAUUGACAACUCCUUUAUUGCGUUGGUUGCGAGUUCUUUGUUUGUUUGUGUAGGUGCGUGGGACUUGUUGAGAAGCCUCCUACUGUAUUGAUACCUUGGUUCUCAAAAACUAAGGUAAAUACUUACGCUACUCUGCUGCAUCACCCUUUCCUCUUCAAGGAAAACCAACGCAAGCUCAAGACGUAGCAAGAAGGAUUUCUAGCACCGUUGCCAGGGAGGUCUUCACUCAAGUCAAGACAUACCAAGUACCCAUCACAAACUCAUCUCCCUCGCAUUUACAUUAUUUGCCAUUUGCCUCUCGUUUUCCUCUCCCCCACUUCACCCUUGCCAUUUUAUUCGCCCUCUCUUUCCCAAUCUCCUCUCUUUUCCGUUUUCCAUUUUCUGUUUGCUUGUGUGUUGGAUUACUUGUUGCCAUGGCGCAAGAUAAUACCAAAUUGUGUGAUUUCUCGAAUACCUAUAAUAAUGAUUUCCUUAGUACUCCGAUUGCUCCUCUUAAUGAUGUUGAGUCUUGUGAAAUCAAUACUGCUUUGCUGAAUCUUGUUAUGAAAGAUCAAUUCGCCGGCCUUCCUAGUGAAGAUGCCGCUACUCAUCUAAACAAUUUUGUUGAUUUGUGUGAUAUGCAAAAGAAGAAAGAUACGGAUAACAAUAUUGUUAAAUUGAAGUUAUUUCCGUUUUCACUUAGCGAUCGUGCUAAAGUUUGGUUUUCGUCUUUGCCUAAAAAUAGUAUUGAUUAUUGGAACAAGUGCAAAGAUGCUUUUAUCUCUAAGUAUUUUCCUCCCGCUAAGAUUAUCACUCUUAGGAACGAUAUUAUGAAUUUUAAACAACUUGAUCAUGAGCAUGUUGCCCAAUCUUGGGAAAGAAUGAAAUUGAUGAUUCGCAAUUGCCCUACUCAUGGUUUGAAUUUAUGGAUGAUCAUACAAAAAUUUUAUGUCAGUUUGAACUUUGCUUCUAUAAAUCUCUUAGAUUCGGCCGCGGGAGGCACAUUUAUGGAAAUCACGUUAGGAGAUGCUACAAAACUUCUUGAUAAUAUUAUGGCUAAUUAUUCUCAAUGGCACACCGAAAGAUCUUCUAGUAAAAAAGUGCAUGCUAUAGAAGAAAUCAAUGUUUUGAGUGGAAAGAUGGAUGAACUUAUGAAGUUGUUUGCUACUAAAAAUACUCCUCUUGAUCCCAAUGAUAUGCCUUUGUCUACUUUGAUUGAGAGUAAUAAUAAAUCUAUGGAUGUGAAUUUUGUUGGUAGGAAUAGUUUUGGAAACAAUGCUUAUAGAGGAAACUUUAAUGCUAGACCGUUCCCUAGUAAUUCCUCUAAUAAUUAUGGAAAUUCCUACGAUAAUUCUUAUGGUAAUUAUAAUCAUAUGCCCUCUGAUUUUGAGAAUAGUGUGAAAGAAUUUAUGAUUUCUCAAAAUAAUUUUAAUGCCUUGCUUGAAGAAAAAUUGCUCAAAGUUGAUGAUUUGGCUAGGAACGUUGAUAGACUUUCGCUUGAUGUUGAUUCUCUUAAAAUUAGAUCUUCUUAUCCUAAGCAUGAUAUCAAUGAGUCUCUCAAAGCAAUGAGAAUUUCCAUUGAUGAGUGUAAGGAAAGAACCGCUAGAUUGCAUGCUAAAAAAGAUAGCUUUAUAAAGGCGUGUUCUUCUAAUUUCCAUGAAAAUAAUGAUGAAGAUCUUAAAGUUAUUGAUGCAUCUCCUAUUAGAUCUAUGUUUUGCAAUAUGAAUCUUGAUAAUUAUGGGACUGAUGAUGAGUCAACUUUACCUAGAAGGUGUCCCAAGAAUUUGGAGUCUUUAGAUCUUGAUGCUAAAUUUGGUAACAGUGAGAUUGGAGAGGUCAUGACUUUAAAUAGUAUUGAACCCACUAUCUCGGAUUUCAAGGAAUUUGAUUAUGAUAAUUGUUCUUUAGAAGGUUGUAUUUCCUUGUUGCAAUCCGUUGUUAAUUCUCCUCAUGCUUAUAGCCAAAAUAAAGCUUUUACCAAACAUAUUGUUGAUGCCUUGAUGCAAUCUUAUGAUGAAAAACUUAAUUUGGAAGUUUCUAUACCUAGAAAACUUAACGAUGAGUGGGAACCUACUAUAAAGAUUAGAAUUAAAGAUCAUGAGUGUUUUGCUUUGUGUGAUUUGGGUGCUAGUGUUUCCAUGAUUCCGAAAAGUUUAUGUGAUAUUCUAGGUUUCCACGAUCUUGAUGAUUGCUCUUUAAAUUUACACCUUGUGGAUUCCACCAUUAAAAAGCCAAUGGGAAGGAUCAAUCAUGUUCUCAUUGUUGCAAAUAGAAAUUUGGUGCCCGUGGAUUUUAUCGUUCUUGAUAUAGAUUGCAAUCUUUCUUGCCCUAUUAUUCUUGGUAGACUUUUCCUUAGAAUGAUUGUCGCGAUUAUUGAUAUGAAGGAAGGGAAUAUUAGAUUCCAAUUUCCAUUAAAGAAAGGCAUGUAGCACUUUCCAAGAAACAAAGUCAAAUUACCUUAUGAAUCUAUCAUGCGUGCUACUUAUGAAUCAAGUGCCAAAGAUGGCACUACUUAGAUCUAUCUUCGCAUUUAUGCCUAGCUAGGGGCGUUAAACGAUAGCGCUAGUUGGGAGGCAACCCAAUUUUCUUUAUGUUUUUUGUUUUUGAUCCUGUUUAGUAAUAAAUUUUGCAUCUACUUUCUGUUUAGAUGUGUUUUUACCUUUUAAUUAGUGUUUGUGCCAAAUAGAACCAUAGGAUAAACUAUGAUGAUAGUUGAUUUGAUUCUGCUGAAAAACAAAAACAUUGUGCUCAUGAGAAAAAAUUCAAUAAAUCACAAAAACGUUCUUUUGCAUUGAUUCUUAUUUCUGCUGAUCAAUAAACAAAUUGUCCAGUACGUCCUAUUUUGGUAGGAUUUUUAUAGUUCCAGAACUUUGCAUUAGUUACAGAUUGCUAUAGACUGUUCUGUUUUUGACAGAUUCUGUUUUUCAUGUAUUGUUUGCUUAUUUUGAUGCAUCUAUGGCUAGUAAAAUAGUUUAUAAACCAUAGAGAAGUUGGAAUACAGUAGGUUUAACACCAAAAUAAAUAAAGAAUGAGUUCAUUACAGUACCUUAUAUGGUGGUUUUGUUUUCUUUCACUAACGGAGCUUAUAAGAUUUCCUGUUGAGUUUUGUGUUGUGAAGUUUUCCAGUUUUGGGUAAAGCUUUUUAUGGACUAUGGAAUAAGGAGUGGCAAAAGCCUAAGCUUGGGGAUGCCCAAGGCACCCCAAGAUAUUCAAGGAUAGCCAAAAGCCUAAGCUUGGGGACGCCCCGGGAAGGCAUCCCCUCUUUCGUCUUCGUUCAUUGGUAACUUUACUUGGAGCUAUAUUUUUAUUCGCCACAUGAUAUGUGUUUUGCUUGGAGCGUCGUGUAUUAUAUUAGUAUUUGCUUUUUAGUUUAACACAAUCAUCCUUGCUAUACACACCUUUUUGGAGAAGCCUAUUUGAUUAGAAUUUGCUAGAAUACCCUAUGUGCUUCACUUAUAUUUUUUAGAGCACGGCGGUGGCUUGAUUUUAUAGAAAUUAUUAGUCUCUCAUGCUUCACUUAUAUUAUUUUGAGAGUCUCUUAGAACAGCAUGUAUUUGCUAUGGUUACAAAGUUGGUCCUAGAAUGGUAGGCAUCCAAGUUGGGUAUAAUAAAAACUAUCACAGAAAAAGAAUUGGAUGCUAUGAUCAAUAUGAUGCUUGAUAAUUGUUUUGAGAUAUGGAGGUAGUGAUAUUAGAGUCAUGCUAGUUUAGGUGAUUAUGAAAAAUACUUGUGUUGAGGGUUGUGAUUCCCGUAGCAUGCACGUAUGGUGAACCGCUUUGUGAUGAAGUUGGAGCACAAUUUUAUUUAUUGAGUGUCUUCCUUAUGAGUGGCGGUCGGGGACGAGUGAUGGUCUUUUCCUACCAAUCUAUCCCCCUAGGAGCAUGCGCGUAGUGCUUUGGUUUUUGAUGACUUCUAGAUUUUUGCAGCAAGUACAUGAGUUCUUUUGAUUAAUGUUGAGUCCAUGGAUUAUACACACCUCAUCCUUCCAUUAUUGCUAGCCUCUCUUGUGUCGCGCAACUUUCGCCGGUACUAUACACCCACCAUAUACCUUCCUCAAAACAGCCACCAUACCUACCUAUUAUGGCAUUUCCAUAGCCAUUCCGAGAUAUAUUGCCAUGCAACUUUCCACCGUUCUGUUCAUAUGACACGCAUUACUUUUUGUCAUAUUGCUCUUUGCAUGAUCAUGUAGUUGACAUCGUAUUUGUGGCAAGGCCACUUUCAUAAUUUUCAUACAUGUCACUAAUGAUUCAUUGCAUAUCCCGGUACACCGCCGGAGGUAUUCAUAUAGAGUCAUAUCUUGUUCUAGCUUUGAGUUGUAACUCUUGAGUUGUAAAUCCAUAAAAGUGUGAUGAUCUUCAUUAUUAGAGCAUUGUCCUAGUGAGGAAAGGAUGAUGAAGACUAUGAUUCCCCCACAAGUCAGGAUGAGACUUCGGACUUAAAAAAAGGAGAAAGAAAAAAAGGGGAUAAAUGCCAAAAAGAAAAAAACGGCCAAAGAAAAAAGAAAACAAAAAGAAAACAAAAAAAUAUAUAAUGAGAGAAAAAGAGAGAAGGGACAAUGCUACUAUCUCUUUUUCCACACUUGUGCUUCAAAGUAGCACCAUGAUCUUCAUGAUAGAGAGUCUCUUAUGUUGUCACUUUCAUAUACUAGUGGGAAUUUUUCAUUACAGAACUUGGCUUGUAUAUUCCAAUGAUGGGCUUCCUCAAAAGUGCCCUAGGUCUUCAUGAGCAAGCAAGCUGGAUGCACACCCACUUAGUUUCUUUUGUUGAGCUUUCAUAUAUUUAUAGCUCUAGUGCAUCCGUUGCAUGGCAAUACCUACUCACUCACAUUGAUAUCUAUUAAUGGGCAUCUCCAUAGCCCGUUGAUACGCCUAGUUGAUGUGAGACUAUCUUCUCUUUCUUUCUGUCUUCUCCACAACCACCAUUCUAUUCCACAUAUAGUGCUAUGUCCAUGGCUCACGCUCAUGUAUUGCGUGAAAGUUGAAAGAGUUUGAGAUUAUUAAAGUAUGAAACAAUUGCUUGGCUUGUCAUCGGGGUUGUGCAUGAUUAAAUACUUUGUGUGAUGAAGAUAGAGCAACAUCCAGACUAUAUGAUUUUGUAGGGAUAACUUUCUUUGGCCAUGUUAUUUUGAGAAGACAUGAUUACUUUGAUUAGUAUGCUUGAAGUAUCACCAUUUUCAUGUUAAUAUGAACUUUCAUUUUGUAUCAUUUGGAUCUGAACAUUCAUGCCACAAUAAAGAAAAUUACGUUAAGAAUUAUGCUAGGUAGCAUUCUACAUCAAAAAUUCUCUUUUUAUCAUUUACCUACUCGAGGACGAGCAGGAAUUAAGCUUGGGGAUGCCUGAUACGUCUCCAACGUAUCUAUAAUUUUUAUUGUUCCAUGCUAUUAUAUUACCCCUUUUGGAUGUUUAUGGGCUUUAUUUUACACAUUUAUAUCAUUUUUGGGACUAACCUACUAACCGGAGGCCUAACCCGUAUUGCUGUUUUUUUGCCUAUUUCAAUAUUUCGAAGAAAAGGAAUAUCAAACGGAGUCCAAACGGAAUGAAACCUUUGGGAGCAUGAUUUUUGGAACGAACGUGAUCCAGAGGACUUGGAGUGCAAGUCAAGAAGCAGCCGAAGCUUCCACGAGAUAGGAGGCCCCCCCCCUAUAGGGUGCGCCCCCCUUUCUCGUGGGCCCCUCGGGCGUCCACCAACGUACUUCUUCCUCCUAUAUAAGCCUAUGUACCCCGAAAACAUCCAGGGAACAGGCGAAACACAAUUUCCACCACCGUAACCUUCUGUAUCCGCGAGAUCCCAUCUUGGAGCCUUUGCCGGCGUUCUGCCGGAGGGGGAAUCGACCAUGGAGGGCUUCUACAUCAACACCCUUGCCCCUCCGAUGAGUUGUGAGUAGUUUACCAUAGACCUACGGGUCCAUAGUUAUUAGCUAGAUGGCUUCUUCUCUCUUUUUGGAUCUCAAUACAAUGUUCUCCUCCUCUCUUGUGGAGAUCUAUUUGAUGUAGUCAUGUGAAUUUGGUAUUCGUUCGAUAUUUUGAUGAGAUGUGUGUUGUCUUUCCUCUAGUGGUGUUAUGUGAACGUCGACUACAUGACACUUCACCAUUAUUUGGGCCUAGAGGAAGGCAUUGGGAAGUAAUAAGUAGAUGAUGGGUUGCUAGAGUGACAGAAGCUUAAACCCUAGUUUAUGCGUGUCUUCGUAAGGGGCUGAUUUGGAUCCAUAUGUCUAAUGUUGUGGUUAGGUUUACCUUAAUACUUCUUUUGUAGUUGCGAAAGCUUGCAAUAGGGGUUAAUCAUAAGUGGGUUGCUUGUCCAAGUAAGGGCAGUACCCAAGCACCGGUCCACCCACAUAUCAAAUUAUCAAAGUAUUGAACGCGAAUCAUAUGAGCGUGAUGAAAACUAGCAUGACGAUAAUUCCCAUGUGUCCUCGGGAGCUCUUUUCUCAUUAUAAGAAAUUGUCCAGGCUUGUCCUUUGCUACAAAAAGGAUUGGGCCACCUUGCUGCACUUUAUUUACUUUCAUUGCUUGUUACUCGUUACAAUUUAUCUUAUCACAAAACUAUCUGUUACUUACAAUUUCAGUGCUUGCAGAGAAAACCUUACUGAAAACCUCUUGUCAUUUCCUUCUGCUCCUCGUUGGGUUCGACACUCUUACUUAUCUAAAGGACUAUGAUAGAUCCCCUAUACUUGUGGGUCAUCAGCGACACGGGGCUGGAUGCGGUCACGGUCGCGGUGACCGCAGCCACUUGACAAAGACCAGGCAGCGCGAACGAUAGCCUACGGCAGCGAAACGAGGAGAGAGAAGAGGAGGAUGGACGGCCACUCACAUUGGAGCCGUAGGGGAGCGGCAAUGGGCUCGGGGAGGUACGACGAGGUAGGGGCGACGGCGGUGAGGUCCUGUGGUGACGUCGGGGCGGCGGUGUCUGAUACAUCUCCAACGUAUCUAUAACUUUUGAUUGUUCCGUGCUAUUAUAUUACCCCUUUUGGAUGUUUAUGGGCUUUAUUUUACACAUUUAUAUCAUUUUUGGGACUAACCUACUAACCGGAGGCCCAGCCCGUAUUGCUGUUUUUUUGCCUAUUUCAGUAUCUCGAAGAAAAGGAAUAUCAAACGGACUCCAAACGGAAUGAAACCUUCGGGAGCGUGAUUUUUGGAACGAACGUGAUCCAGAGGACUUGGAGUGCAAGUCAAGAAGCAGCCGAAGCUUCCACGAGAUAGGAGGGCGCCCCCCCCCCCCCUAUAGGGCGCGCCCCCUGUCUCAUGGGCCCCUCGGGCGUCCACCGACGUACUUCUUCCUCCUAUAUAAGCUUACAUACCCCGAAAACAUCAAGGGAGCAGGCGAAACACAAUUUCCACCACCGUAACCUUCUGUAUCCGCGAGAUCCCAUCUUGGAGCCUUCGCCGGUGUUCUGCCAGAGGGGGAAUCGACCAUGGAGGGCUUCUACAUCAACACCCUUGCCCCUCCGAUGAGUUGUGAGUAGUUUACCACAGACCUACAGGUCCAUAGUUAUUAGCUAGAUGGCUUCUUCUCUCUUUUUGGAUCUCAAUACAAUGUUCUCCCCCUCUCUUGUGGAGAUCUAUUUGAUGUAAUCUCUUUUUGCGGUGUGUUUGUCGAGAUCCGAUGAAUUGUGGGUUUAUGAUCAAGUUUAUCUAUGAAUAAUAUUUGAAUCUUCUCUGAAUUAUUUUAUGUAUGAUUGAGUUAUCUUUGCAAGUCUCUUCGAAUUAUCAGUUUCGUUUGGCCUACUAGAUUGAUCUUUCUUGCCAUGGGAGAAGUGCUUAGCUUUGGGUUCAAUCUUGCGGUGUCCUUACCUAGUGACAGAACGGGUUGCAAGGCACGUAUUGUAUUGUUGCCAUCGAGGAUAAAAAGAUGGGGUUUAUAUCAUAUUGCUUGAGUUUAUCCCUCUACAUCAUGUCAUCUUGCUUAAUGUGUUACUCUGUUCUUUGUGAACUUAAUACUCUAGAUGCAGGCAGGAGUCGGUCGAUGUGUGGAGUAAUAGUAGUAGAUGCAGGCAGCAGUCGGUCUACUUAUUGUGGACGUGAUACCUAUAUACAUGAUCAUGCCUAGAUAAUCUCAUAAUUAUUCGCUUUUCUAUCAAUUGCUCGACAGUAAUUUGUUCACCCACCGUAAUACUUAUGCUAUCUCGAGAGAAGCCUCUAGUGAAACCUAUGGCCCCCGGGUCUAUCUCUUAUCAUAUUUGCUUCCAAUCCACUUUUAUUUGCAUCUUUACUUUUUGCAUCUAUAUUAUAAAAUACCAAAAAUAUACUUAUCUUAUCGUACUAUCUCUAUCAGAUCUCACUUUCAUAAGUGGCCGUGAAGGGAUUGACAACCCCUUUAUUGUGUUGGUUGCGAGUUCUUGUUUGUUUAUGUAGGUGUGUGGGACUUGUUGAGAAGCCUCCUACUGGAUUGAUACCUUGGUUCUCAAAAACUGAGGGAAAUACUUACGCUACUCUGCUGCAUCACCCUUUCCUCUUCAAGGAAAACCAACACAAGCUCAAGACAUAGCAGUGUCCAGGCGGCGGGGCGUGACUCGAUCCGGCGGCUUCGGAGUCGGUGACGGGGCGAGACGGUGGCAAGUACGGGCGCCGAUGUCGAGGAGUGGGACAGCGCGGUCGCCGGGGAGAGGCGGCAGGGUCGGCACGAGGCCGAGGGGGUGAUGGGAUCGGGGCGCUGAGCGCUGGGGCGCUCCCGAUCCAGAUCGCGCGAUGGGGGGAAUGGGGAUCGUGGGGAGAGGGGUUAGGGUUUCGGUGCAAGUGCGGGGGGUUAUGCGGGGAGAGGUGGGCCGACCGGGGUGGGCUGGCCGACUGGGCCGGCCAGUUGGCUAGCUGGGCCGGUCGGCUCAGUUGGCCAAGGGGGGUCUCUUUUGCAUUUUAAUUUUUUUUGUAAAACUCUGCUACUGUUUUCUAAUAAACUGUAAAUCUAAACAAGUUUUGUUAGAUAUGAGACUUACCUCAUAAAUCAAGCACUUUAUUUCUACGAGUCACAAACUGUUGGAGGCCAAAAGGAGUUGUCUAAUUAAUUUUAGAAAUUGGAAAGACCAAUUUUAAAUGCUGCUGGACCAUGAAAUAAUUUCCAGGGGCACUUUGGGAAUCCAAAAGGGGUUGUUUCCAACAUGACAAAUAUCCAAGGAUUAUUUGCCACACAUUGAACAUUUUUAUUUGCAUGUUUGAGAAUUUUGAAUUUUGACUUCAAUUUCAAUUUGGAAUUUGAACUGUGUUUGAAUGCAAAGGGGGAUUAGUAACAGUAAGAGUGAUGACAUGGCACCAUUAACAUGGGAUUACUAUAGCUUAAUUAUCCGAGCGUCACAACGUAUGUACCAGAAGAGGGGCACCGAAGGUGGGCCGAGGGGAGCACAAUCCACCAGGGUGCGCUUGGGCUCCCUGGCGCCCAUGUGGGUUGUGCCCACCUGGUGGGCCCCCUAUGGUAUUUAUUUGCUCCAAUAAUUCUCAUUUAUUCAAUAAAAAUUCCUCGUGAAGUUUCAGCUCAUUUGGAGUUGUGCAGAAUAGGUAGCCUGACGUAGCUUUUUUAGGUCCAGUUUUCCAGCUGCCGGAAUUCUCCCUCUUUGUGUGUACCUUGCAUAUUAUGAGAGAAAAGGCAUUAGAAUUACUCCAAAAAGCAUUAUUAUGCAAUAAAACAUUAUAAAUAACAGUACAUGAUGCAAAAUGGACGUAUCAAGCUGUCCGGCCCUUCUCUUCCUACCCCUGUAUGUUCCCCAUCCUUUCCCCAUCCAUGAUAUCAAGCACCGGCACUGGCAGAGGCAACUGAUCCAGCCAUGAUCACGAAUGGGACACCUUCAUCCGUGAGGCGGUGGACGACGAAGAGCUUGCCCUAUGCAUCGCGCUGCAGCGCUCGCGGUGGACACGGGCGUCAACUCCGGCUUUGCUCCGUCCCCUGUCGCCCGCCACCACGGCGUGGACGCCGUGGCCGGCCCGUUCCGCACCGCACACAGCUCCGCACGACCGACCUACCACGCAUUGCUGGCCCGCCGCCCUCCUAACCGUCCAACAAAUGUUCCUCAAGGGCAUCGGUGGGUGCUCAUGUCAGACCCGUCGGCACCACAGACGCGGACCUUUUAAUCUAAGGUGCUUGCCGUCCGUUGCGAGACGCAUCAGGCUAGGUAGAGGGCGGUGAUGUCAGAGGCGAUGGUCGUAUAGUCCUCCCGACGCCGUCACGGAUUGCCGGCGGUGCUUGAUGAGAGGAGAAACUCCUCGCAAUUGUCUACUGUCGCUCAGCUAUGACAGCGGAGAUGGACGCCCACCGGCUCCAUUGGAAGAACCCUGAAGGCAGUCCGGCUCGGUCUGGAGCAGUCGACACGCGAGGCGGCGGAGGGGGCGAUGGCGGAUGCGAGAGUGGCAAAGCUCGUGAGGUAGCAGAACCGCGUCGUCUAGAGGACUGCCAACUACAUCGACUCCUCCUACUACUACUAUGGCUCCGACAACCCUCACGUGCCGCUGGUGCCUACACGAACAUCUAGCCACGCUGGUGACCGGAAGUGCAAAGGACCGGCGAGGAAGUGGUGAAGAAGCUCAGCCCUUUUCCGUCUUUAUUGCUGGUUUUAGUAAUUUUACUUUAGAACUAUGCUCGUCAGUAAACCGUGGUGGUUGUUUGCUCUAUGUUCGGAUUACAUGGAUUUCUAUGUCCGAGUUAUGUCAAUUUCUAUGUUUGUUUGUUCGGUGUCUAUUUGUUUUGUUGAUGAUCUCCGUUGUUUUGUUUCAUGUUGGAUGUGUAGUAUGAAUUUAGGGUACUGGAUAUGUGGUACACGGUUGUGGACGCGGCGAUUUGAGAAUUGACCAGUCACUGUCCGCGGACAUUCCCGAGCGCAUCCUUACGCAUAUAUGUUGCCGGAUUUGGAUGCCUAGUUGUCGAUGAUCUUAGCCAUCAGAUGAUCGGGGUUCUUUGCAUGGCAUUUAAGUGGGUUAUAGACAUCGUGUACGACCAAUGCUAAAACACGUGGUAUCUUCUGCAUCCAUGGCCAUGGAUGCGACGAUUGGAUGUUUGAACACUGGACUUUUCUAUAGAACGGAGACAAUUGCCCAGCCUUAAGAAUGAGACGUUCAUUUGUAAAAGGUUCGAAACAAACAACAAAUAAUAUGCAAACGAAACAAAUGUUCGAUACAUGACCAGAAGGCCUACAUAGUGAAGCUUUUUUGCGGGUCAAAAUGGAAUUUUAUUUCAUAAUAAUGGGGUUACAAUUUCGAGACAAUAGUUCCUCACACCAAGGAGUACCCGAAUGCGUUCAUACCGCAAUACAAGCUUCGAUACGGCUAUAAUUGCCAAUUGAUGUGCUACCCUAUUUUUAUUUAUGUAAAAUUUCCGAGGAACAAAUUCCCUAGCUUUCAUGAUAGAUGUAAUCUCAACAGCUAGAUGACCAUAGGCCGGCCAGUAAAGAGCCUGGCCCAAGAGGAUAAACAACAGAGUCAGUGAAUCUGCUUGAACAAUUACUGGUUUGUCUGUAUGCUGAAUGGCAAGUGGCAUACCAUGCAUAAGUGCAUGAAUAUCUGCUUCCAGGGCUUUAGUACAAUGAAAGAUGUACCUAUAUGCCGCCAAGAUCACCGGUCCGUCCUCCCUGCAUAGCACCAUGCCAAUUGAUGCCCGGCCGUCCUAGCCCAAGAAAGAGUCAUUGACAAACAACGCCACCCAACCCAGUGGUGGUGGUGGCCAAGGCGAGGGAGGCUGAGUAGUGAACGUAGGUUUGAACAUUGGACUGCAUAACUCUAUAAACUGCAAAACUAGAUAUUCUAUCGUCUAUAAGUUCUUUAAGGAGGGUAACCUCAGCCUUUGCACGUUUGUGAUGCACAUAACCAUUUUUAUUAGAAAGGUCUUAGUUAUCCAAUACACUAACAAAAUUUAAAAAGUAACCACACCCAAUCGAAACAAAUAUACAUGUCAACAUACAUAACUCCGAGAUAAAAAAGGAAGACGAUAAUCGGCAAGGAGCAUAAUUAUAUGCCUACACACUCGCCAACCAAAUUGGUUGAACAAAAUUUGUGUGACCAUCUCCGACCAGCUGCACCCAAACGCAACAUGUUCCUGAGUGUCCACACGCUAAAAUAAUGACCCUGUACGGAUUAUCGUAUCAACCUGAAAAUGGCCUGCAAUUUCUUUAAGUAUUGUACCGUUGAAAUGAUAUCAUUAGGAGCAUGCGAGGGAGCCAACGGUAAGGCACAUAUUUCAACACGGAUAUGUCCCUUAAGAUUGGGUUGAAUGCCUACCAAUCAUUCCCCAAUUUUUUUAGUAUACUAGUUGGCGGUGGUAAAUUAAAUGCUAUAUGAAGAGUUUGCCAAAUCAAAUAUGCAAAAGGACAUAGAAGGAAAAAUAUUUUGAAUUGUCUCCUCUUGAUCAAAGAAACAACAUUUUUGCAUUCGUGCCAAUUGCACUUGCCCUAAGUUGUCAUUGGCGAGAAUGACCCCACACUGCAAAAGUCAAAUGCAAAACUUAUUUUUUUAUCGGAACUUCGAUCUUCCAAAUAUGUUUUGCGCGAAAGCUUUGCCAUGUGUUCAUUAGAUCCGCAUAGAUGGACUUGACCGUGAAGGCGCCAUUAGUAUUCAACCUCCAUUGAGAACCAUCUAGUGCAUGUGUUAGGUUCACUGACAUCAACCUUCGCACUAACUGUAGCCACGAUGUCUAUUUCCCCACGAUCAAAACCCUAUAAGGUGAAUAUUAAGAUGACUCGCCCCAAAAACAUGCAACACAUGCAUUCUUUCUCUGCAGAAAGUCUUUAUCCUUUGAUUGCGUAAGUGUUAAAGAAAUGAGAAAGUAUCCUAUAGAGACCAUUUUUAGGAAAUGGUAUCAAGAUGGACCAUGAGAUCAUCAUCUCACUAUGAGACAUGACAACGCAUCACAUAAGAAUCAUGGGCUAAUCCCUUCCAUCCAACAGGAACAUAGAUAAAUCUUAGGUCAAAAUCAAUAGCCGCUAGCACAUUUUGUGUGGGAAUAGACAUUCUACACCUGAACAUAUCAUGCAUGUGGAUAGGUACACAUGCCGUUUUAUGAAUACCAUCUAGGACACAUAUGCAUCCGUGCGAAAAAGAGAGAACUAGUUUUUAACAGGCUGAAUGGAACCUAUAAAUGUUGCAAAGGUUAGUGAAUAAUUUUGGAUGUGCCUCUUUGGGGCAAGGGGUGAGUUUAGAUUGAAUGAAAUAGAGUCACUUCCUUCUUGGCACAUGCCCUAUCCCUACGAGCACCUUCGACAAAUCAUGAGAUUGACGAAGUUGGCACAUGCACCUCGUAGUCGAUGAAAAUGUCUCUUCCCACUAAAUGCACAUAAUCGAAAUUCAUGAAUGAAAUAAAUUCAGAAAAAUACAAGCAUCCAUACCAAGUCCAUGGAUUUGAACACGGUUGGGAUGCUUUCACCAUAAGAAACAUAACCAUGCUCAGUUUGUACUAUGACAACAAUUUUAAUCACCUGACCUUAGAUAGUGUGGUGAAAAAAGAUGGCAAAAUUAGUAUAUGAACCAAACAUGCCCGUAGAAUGGACAGUAUAUUUCUCAUUUCCCUCACAAAAAUUAUAUUUCUCACUUCUAAUAUGACAACAGAAAGUAAAAUAGUACUUCCUCCGUCCGGAAAUACUUGUCAUCAAAAUGGACAAAAAAGGAUGUAUCUAGAACUAAAAUACAUCUAGAUACAUCCCUUUUUAUUCAUUUUGAGGACAAGUAUUUCCGGAUGGAGAGAGUACUAUAUACACAACGUAAGAUAAAUAUAUUAAGUACUGUAUACUACUCCCUCCGUUCCUAAAUAUUUGUCUUUGUAUAGAUUUUAACAAGUGACUACAUAUGGAGCAAAAUGAGUGAAUCUACACUUUAAAAUAUGUCUAUAUAUAUCCGUAUGUGGUGUCCAUUUGAAAUCUCUAAAAAGACAAAUAUUUAGGAACGGAGGGAGUAUGAUUCUUGCAUGCCGUGCACGUAAUGGCGGUCAAAGUUUGAAAAUACAGUACUGAUAGCACGCAUAAUAAUGUGUCAUAUUCAUGGACAGAUCAAGUCUCUUGAGUUGGUCACCAAACAACACGACCCCGUAUUUAGAGGGCAUUUAGACCUGGCUAAGGUCUCGCUGACUUGACCACUGACAACUGGCUGGUCGACCCAUGGCCGUCACCACCAGGCCGGGCCCCACCAGAUGAGGACGCGUUGACCAGUCAGCGUCCGGUCAUCAGGGGGCAAGGGCAGCCGUCCACGUGCCCUGCGCGCCAAAUCUGACGGUAGGUCGUCGCCACUGUCUUUUAAUGGAAUCCCUCCCGACUGCCAGCUGCCGGCCCAGGAGAAGCACCGAUGGAAAAGCUUCGCUUUGGAGCACCCCACUAACAAUAGCGAGGAAAAACAGGGUGGCAAAGGAUUGGACUGAUCCAUCGGUUUGGGUUGUUGUUUGGUGGAAAGAAGCGAGCGAAUUCGCGCGGUUUUGGAUGGCGCCGAGGUGAAAGCUUCGGCCGUGCGGAGAAAUUUCAUCAAAUUUUGGUGGCGGUGGAGGAGGAAGCUGCGAUCUUGGCGAGAAAUUUCGGAGGCUGCGACUACCGACUAUAUCGGCGAGGAAGUCCGGGUAAGGAAGGGGGGAGGAGGGGGAGGUGAGGCGCGCGAUGCUGCGGUGGCUGGCGCGGCCGGCUGAGCGGUGCCUGGGGCGCGGCGGCUGCGGUUGCGGUAGCGGGGCAGGCGGGGGAGGGGACGGGUUGCUGUGGCACGCGGAGCUGAAGCCGCACGCGUCCGGGGAGUACUCCUUCGCCGUGGCGCAGGCCAACGAGAGGCUGGAAGACCAGGGCCAGGUGGUGACCUCGCAGGCGUCCACAUUCGUCGGGGUGUACGACGGCCACGGCGGGCCCGAGGCCUCGCGCUUCCUCUCCUCCCGCCUCUUCCCGAACCUCCACAGUGAGUGCGCCGCUGUAUAAACUCCAUUUACGAGCGCUUUUCUUUUUAGAUUUAGCUUAGACUUCCUGUAAGUAAUUUGCUGAAAUGGACUAGAUGACUAAAUUCUUGAUGUUCUACACAUGUUUCUCAAAGUAGUACUGUGAGUUUGAACCAAAUGUCAUGGUGGUUUGUUUAUANNNNNNNNNNNNNNNNNNNNNNNNNNNNNNNNNNNNNNNNNNNNNNNNNNNNNNNNNNNNNNNNNNNNNNNNNNNNNNNNNNNNNNNNNNNNNNNNNNNNNNNNNNNNNNNNNNNNNNNNNNNNNNNNNNNNNNNNNNNNNNNNNNNNNNNNNNNNNNNNNNNNNNNNNNNNNNNNNNNNNNNNNNNNNNNNNNNNNNNNNNNNNNNNNNNNNNNNNNNNNNNNNNNNNNNNNNNNNNNNNNNNNNNNNNNNNNNNNNNNNNNNNNNNNNNNNNNNNNNNNNNNNNNNNNNNNNNNNNNNNNNNNNNNNNNCCUCAUGUAGAUUUUGUUUUCUUUUGUUUCACUUUGAUUGCCCCAAAUGGCCUAAUGAUGGAUGCUGUUAGCUCUAUCUGAUCACACUGUUAUGUGGUUAAUUUACACACUUUUUGCUGAAUAUGUUCUCUAGUUAAACCGAGUUUGCACAUUCAUUUAGCUAAACAGUCUUGUGGUCUGAACCAUGACAGAGUUUGCAUCAGAGCAAGGAGGCAUGUCCAUAGACGCUAUCAAGAAGGCAUUCCAUGCUACAGAAGAGGAGUUCUUGCACCUAGUCAAGGGGACAUGGCUCAAACGGCCAAAGAUCGCCUCAGUCGGCUCAUGCUGCCUUGUUGGAGCAAUUGCCAAUAAUAAACUGUAUGUCGCCAAUUUAGGCGACUCGAGAGCCGUCCUUGGUCAUAGAGGACCCAAUGGCCGGGGAGUAGUGGCCGAGAGGCUGUCUAAUGAUCACAAUGUUGCCGACGAGGCGGUAAGAAAGGAGCUCAUUCAGCAGCAUCCUGAUGAUUCGCAAAUAGUCGUCUACAGCAGGGGCGUUUGGCGGAUUAAGGGCAUCAUUCAGGUACCAAUCAGCAAAUCAUGUUAGUUUGGAUCCUUUUCAGGUGCAUCCGUGCAUGGCAUUCUAUUUGCAAUCAUGUUUUACAAACAUUAUGUGACAGUUGGCUGCUAUUAGAAAAUCUAGUAGGCAAGGUGGUCUCCAGAAUUUGUUAGUAGUUAAUUAACAUGUCAAGAACAAUCAUAGCAUGCCCGCAAGACGGAUAAAUGGCGUACUGCAAAACAGAAUUACAUCUCAGCAUAGGUGACCUGGUCCUAGUCUCUUGUAAUUCAGAAGUGUUUGCAGAUAAUGCAAGUGAAGUCUGAUGUUAUUCUAGAAAAUCUAGAACGCCGAGUCCAUGAGCGCAUGCCUUAUUCAGUUUAGAUUUUGGGAGGAUUUUACUACUCUUCAUGAACCUCACUUGAUGAAAACAUUAAACUCCAUCCUGAAAUUGAUAUCGCAUGUACUAGAUCUAUGUCAUGAUGCCCUAAAUUAUUUACUCAGAUAAAGGCAACAGUCUAAUUCUGAUUGGACGUUGCCUUGGUUUCAUGUUCAGUAUACAUGGACACAUCUGUUCUCGAUGUCAUAACAUAGAUUCCAAUGCUCUUUUGCAAAGCACUCCUCGAUCCAAUACCACCAUAGGAAUAUAUUCUUAUGUUCCAAAAAGUCAGCAACUUAAAUUGCUUACGCAGUGUGGCAAACCCAUAUUCUAAAGCCAUUGUCUCCUUUUUGUAUUUUUCUAAAGCCUACAGUUAGUCGAUCUCAUCUGGGCAAAUACUACAUGAUCUAAGAAAAGAUGCCACCGGUUGCCUGCAUUAGUUAUCAUCACUAUGCUUUGUAAUGUUCCUUAAAACUAUAAAAGCAGUUCAAGACGACAAACCUGCUUUCACAGUGACAGUCAUGAUCCACACUCGACAUUAUUAUUUCUUUGAUGCUUUCAGAUUUCCAGAUCAUUUGGGGAUGCCUACCUGAAGAAACCUGAAUUUGCCAGAGACCCUGUAUUCCAGCAAUAUGUGUGUCCUGUACCGUUGAAGCGGGCCGUCAUAACAGCUGUGCCAUCGAUCAAAGUACGCCAGAUAGGGCAGCAAGACCUCUUUGUAAUAUUUGCAUCGGACGGUCUGUGGGAGCAGUUGACCGACGAAGCGGCGGUGGAGAUCGUCUUUAAGAACCCGAGAGCGGUAAGCCAAGCUCAUUUAACCUCGUCACGGGGAACAGCUAUACGCUGUUCCAUUGAUGCAGAAUAUGAUGUGUUGUUGUGUGGAAAAUGCAUGUGCUUAGGGAAUAGCGAGGCGACUGGUGAGAGCGGCGAUCUCUGAAGCCGCGAGGAAAAGAGAGAUGAGGUACGCCGACAUGCAACACAUCGAAAGAGGGAUCAAGCGGCAUUUCCACGACGAUAUCACGGUUGUGGUGCUCUACCUUGAUAGUCACAAACAAGACGCGCAAACAAAGUUCGGUGGCCUGGACAGUUUCAGGUUCACCAAUGCACCGGUGGACAUAUUCUCGCCCUCAGGCCGAACCGUGGAACCGACGGUGCUGUGAGCUAGUGUUGUGUCUUCAGAAGGGAUAAUAGAUGAUAGUGAAAGGAAAAGGAACAAACCAGACGAAAUUUGAAGUCACCUAGACCGAGCCAAGCACAUCUUUUUGUGCAUAUACUGUGUGUGUGUAAUCAAAGCCACUCUAGGUAAGCUGAUGUCUCUAGACAAGAAUUCCAUUGCAGUUGGAGACACUUUGUGUAUCGGUUAUGCAAGAUCAGAUUCCCCAAGAAAAGAGAAAAGGAAGGGGAAAUCUAAAGAUUGUUCUCAGGAUCCUUUGCAUGCAUCGCAAGCUAGGGACUGUUUGAUCAUGAAGCUUUGUUCGCCACUGUGAUUCGUGGGUCCAGGAUUCCAGGGGGGAAAAUAACACAAGAUUGCUUAGAUUUGUGUGGGCGCUAGUACUAGUGUAGCAUCGCCGUAUGGGCAGCCUACUGACUGUCAGCUGCCGCAAAAGAAGAGCCUUCCCAGCUUUUGCUCCUUUUCUUUAGCUGGCAUUGGUGUCUUCUCCUUGUUGCAUCAUGGCCUUGCUUGAGUAGAGUGUUAUUCUUUACUUUUUCAAGUCAAGUAGAGUGCCGCUGAUAUUGUAGUCUUUUGUGUGAAAUCCCAAUAUCCCAUGUCCCAAUGGUGGUUUCAUAUUGCGGCCUGUGUGUAAUUGUUCAUUGUCUUUCAUAUAGCUUACCACUUGCCAAGUGGUGGCCUGUGUGUAAUCUGGUUUCACAAAUUUGUGAUUGCAAUAGGGUGAAAUUGCUCAGCCUCCCAAGGCACAGCCAUGAGUCAUGAACAGCUGUGAUGGUGGUUUCGUAGUGGGCAUCGUUUUAGGUACACACUCCUAGUAGGUCUACUUUUCCGUCUAGAAAAUCUUUGCAAACAUCCCAAUCAAAUCCUAACGAAGUAUCAACAGUUUUGGAGGAUCAAGCAGGCAACACACUACAACAUUUGCCUAGCGUAAUGCGUGAUCACAUUUGGUUUUGGAUUUAGCACCCUGCAGAGCAAUGCGUGUCACAAGAUCUGAAGACGCUCAACAAAACUGUAAUUUGAAUGAAACAGCACCAACCAAACAAUCUGUAAAUUCAUAACGAUAGAAAACAACCAUGCUUCGAGAUUGACUCAUAAUAAUCAUGCGCACUAUAUAACACACAUCAAAAGUAUCCAUUGCAAAGCAACAGUAUCAACCUAGUGACGAUUUAGAGAGCAUGGUAACAAGAUGAUAAUAAUCAUGGGAAGGAAGAUAGCAAGCAACAGUGUGCUGCGGAUCAGAUGCAGCUCACAGGGUCCAAGCAAAAAUUAGUGGAGUAGGCCUAGUAGUUGGAACAGUGGCGCCGACGGUAACAGUGGUAAUAACAGUGGCAGCGGUAGUAACAGCGGACGGUGGACAGCCUGACGAGUGACCCCACCCUCCAUCCUCAGGUCGCUCAGGCAAACGCCGGGCCCAGCGUCAGCGAAACAAGAACCAGCAUCAGCAGCGCCGUUCCUCCCGUGGCCUUGUGGUGGUCUCGCGCCGCGUCACU
rnacentral:lncRNA from 1 species